CCUCCACUUGGGCAAGCUCGGCGCCAGGCUGACCAAGCUCACCAAGUCCCAGUCUGACUACAUUAGCAUCCCGAUCGAGGGUCCCUACAAGCCCGCGGCCUACCGGUACUAGUGUGUCCAGCACGACUAGCGGCUGGCCUGAGCCUGAGUCUGAGCAGCGGCGCCAACGGGAACUCUGCCACGGCGACCUAUCAACUAUCCUGUUUCCCUUCCAUUAUCUUACAUGCUGUCUCUUAGGCGGAGGAUUUGUUAUUACGGUUAUGUUUUGAGCCUUGUGAGGGUUGGGAGAGGCUGCGUUUGCUUUUGCCCAGAAAUAAUGCCAUUAUCAUUGGUUUAUGUGAGGUGGUGUGCUUUUCCGUAUCCGGUUCUGUCUGGCUUGUUCUACCAUGUCUGAAAUCCUUUGCAAGUUGCUAUGGUUUAUUGUAUGGUCGAUUGUCAUAGAUCCUUGUCACAGCGGGUGGUUCAGUUGGCAAUUGGCAUGCUUGGUCCUUGCGCUUUGAGUAGUUCAAUCGGAAACGCCCCUGAAUUUGUUGAGCGUCCACAUCACUUCAUUCGAUUUUCAUUUUUCAUUUUCCAGUGAAGGCCUUUUACCUGCAUGAAUAGUCUCUUGGACUCCAAUGUACUGAUGCUUGAUGUCGUCAAACCCAUUGCCAUGCACCUGUAAUAUUCAGUUAUUAAUAUACCAAAACUUAACACAGAAGUAGUACCCGUUGCGAUGAAUAGAUAGUCCCAAUUAAAAUUGCCAGCUAGCGCCAGUCUUCUUUUGCUGGUGAUGUAAGUAGAGUUGGGUGUUGAUGUGUUUUACAGGUUAGGCGAAGGUUCAGUUUUCUGUUUGUUUCUUGAUCUUCAGGUUUCAGGUCUUUGUUGUCCUGAGUUAGCACACAGAGUUUAUUUAAUGAAUCAUUUUUGUGGGUUUCAGUUCUUAUUUUUAUUUUCCAUGGGUUUUAUUCAUUUUUGUGAGUGUUUCCACUCUAUCAAUAUUCUUACUCAUUUUUAAUUCUUAUUAGUUGUCUGUCGGUAUUCAGUUUUCUCGGUCUUAGUCGUACAUUUCUGUUUAUCAUUCAUAACUAAGGGAUGUAUGUUCAGCGUUUUCAUUGUUUCAGUCAGAUACUAGGUUCAUUGUGUCAGUCCAUCAUUAUUCAGUGUUUACUGUUUAGUCAUUUCCAUCAUUUUAUCAUUGCUUUUCUCUUCUUUUCAUUUGUAGGUUUCAUCAUCUUCAGUUCCACAACAUCCUUCAUAGUUCAUAAUUUGAGAUCUUUCUUCUUCUUUGAGUUACUAGCGUUGCAUCAUUAGAGCAUCUUCAACAGACGCGCAACCGCUCGACGCGAUAAAACAAGGAUACAAUGUCGAAAUAGUGAUUUUUUACAUGCCGCAGAGCGCUGGCUCCAUCGGCCGCUGCAAAAUGUAGCGCGCUCGAGCCGCUCCAGCAGGAGCUGCAAAAAAAAAACACGCGUUCAGCACAAACAACAUUUGACGCUUCAAACAAAACCAAGAAGAUCAAACACAUAAAAAUAAGUUCGGUUUUAUUACAACUUAAACAAAUAGUUUAUUUUCCAAUACAACAAAUAGUUCAAGAAUACAACAUCAUACAUACAAAUCACUCGUUUUGUCGGCCAUUCCAUUCCCAUCACUCCUCGAUUAGAUCAUUCUGAAGAUCGUGAUGCGUUUUGGCACGUCGAAUGACAUGAUAGGAGGCAACAAAUCGGGUCACCCUCGCAGCCCUACACCACACUCGUACGGGAUGUCCCAAGAGCUCAUACUAAGAGUAGUCUAAAUCUUGAUCACGCUCAUUCUGGAUGAUCAUGUUAUGCAUGAUCACACAAGCGUGAUGAUGUACCAAAGGAUCUUUCGAUUCCAAAAUCUAGCCGGUCCUCUCACAAUAGCAAACUGGGCUUGCAAAAUCCCAAAAGCUCUUUCCACAUCUUUCCUAGCCGCCGCAUGAGCAUUGAGGGAAUCUAGAUUUUUCUUACCUUUCAUUUUUAACGGCUUCACAAAUGUUUUACCACUUUGGAUAGAUGUCAUCCACAAGAUAGUAACCAUAGUUGUAUGUAUGACUAUUUGCUACAAAUUGCACGAGUGAUGGUUCACCAUUUGCAAUCUUAUUUAUGAGUGGUGACCGAUUAACAAUGUUGAUGUCAUUCAAAGAUCGAGGCAUUCUAAAAAAAAGCAUGCCAAAUCGAAGUCUCUUGUUCGACCACCGCUUCAAGGAUUGUAGUAGAACCUUUUUUCUGGCUGUGGAAUUGUUCAUGCCAUGCCUUAGGACAAUUCUUCCAACUUCAAUGCAUGCAAUCUAUCGAGUCAAGCAUACCUGGGAACCCGCGAGCUUUGUUCAUCUCCAAAAGCCUUGCGACGUAAUCAACAUUGGGCGUUCUCAAAUACUCCAGACCAAACACUUGCACAAUUUCAAUUGGGAAGCGCUUGACACACAUGAUGGCUUGACUCUCACCCAUGUUCAAGUGGUCAUCAACUAGAUCAACCAGAAUACCGUAUGGCAACAUGCGCAAUGUGGCUGAUACCUUUUGAAAGGUGCUAUGCCCGAGUUCUCCGGCGACAUUCCUCCUUUGCUGAAAAACCCGAUCAUGGCUAGCCAGUUUCUCUACAAUGCGCCUGAACAACUCGGUGCUCAUCCUAAAACGGCGUCGGAAGUACGACUCGGGGUAUACGGGAUUAUCAACAAAAUAGUGUCUCAUCAAUCUCUUGUCGGCAUCGAUCUUAUCCCUUCAAAUUUUCUGCCAAUCCAUAACAUAACCACCGUGCUUCGGCUUUUUAUUGAUGUGCAUAGCUAGGAUCAUUGCAAGUUACUUCUCCUCUUCAAUAUCAAAUUCUUCAUUGGAGUAAUCAUAUGACGAACUCAUCUACAAUAUUAAAUUUAAGCUAGUCUAUAAAGACUACAAACAACAUGCAUCAAAUUCAUGUAAAAAAUGUGAAGUUGAAGCAAUACAUACCUUACAAGCGUUUUGUCGAGAACCUUGUGGGCGCCGAGCGACAGUGGACGGCUUGGCGCUGUUCGUCAGAGGAAUGACGCGAUCGAGGCCUGACGGCGACUAGAGGGCGAUGGAGGAAGCAGCGGCAACGGGGUGAUAGCCGGGGAAGCACCGUUGGGUCGCCGGAGCAAAUGAGGAGGUGCAGGCGGCGGCGCGAGCGCUUGGAUAUGAAGGUAUGUGAAAGUCGCGAUGCGGACGCUCGAGUGUGCAGCGCGCGGGAGCGGACGCACGAAAUAAGCGACGCAGGACGCCGUUUCGCUCCGCGUCGCUCAACCAAUUGUAUCGCGUACGCGUUUUUUUGCAGCUUUAAAUCAACUUGUAAACAGGCUCAGGACCCACUUUUUCCAUAUUUUUUCUCCUCACGCACGGACUGGUCGAGGCCCGACCCGCCGCCGCCCCUUCUGCCCUGCCGCCGCCACCCAUCGUCUGCCCCUCCGGCUAGUCCAUCCCCCGCCGCCCAUCCGCUCUCCGCCCUAGUCCCGUGCACCACCAUCGUGAGCUAGCGCCCCAGGACCGCAUCUGCCCGCCCGCCAUGGCGCACGCACACGCUGGCUCCUUCUCCCCUGUCACCGCCUUCGAUGACAUGCGAGUCACGGACAAGGCGUACCAUGCAACGUGCGCGGCGCUCGGGGCCGGGCGGCCGGACACGGGCGGUGCGGUUGCUGUGGGCGCUGCUAGGCCAGCUGCCCGCCGGAGAAAACCGCGGCGGUCGCCAAGGUGAGGUCGAUACUUGCCAUCGCGUUCGCAUAGCUACACAGUCAGCAGCACCAUGAAGCUUCGAGGCGAAUUUUGGCCGGUCUCCGAGGAGCCUAUGGGCGGAAGGCGUUGGCGGAAGCUGAAUUUCCCCCAACUGCUGGCGUUGACUCGUAUUCGGGGCCCUAGGAAAAUUGCCUCCGAAACUGAAGAUACACGGGUCUCGGGCGUCUGUUCACAGGUCCCUGUAAUUUUUUUAAGGGUCAGACUAUUUUAAGGGGUGAGCUCGAGUCCAUUUUUUUGACUAAAACUAUAAAAAACGAUUAUUUUAUAGAUUUAACGACUUAUAAAGGGGUCUGCUAAAGAUGCUCUAAGCACGGCUUGUAUUAGCAGCACGCGGGCAACCGAUUAUUUUAGACUAACUGAAAUCACGAGAGAUGACAACAUGACAAUGGACAAAAAAACCCGACCUCGGCCCAAAGAAAAAAUAGAUGCGUGUUUGUUCGGCACUCCCAAAACAUAAUAAUGACAUACGUCACUAUUUACAAACGCACAGAGGACAACAAAAGGAAGACCACAUGUCCCGUGUCAUAUUUAACGUAGUUACGGAUAUGUUGACAAUUAUGAUAGAAAGAGCUAAAGAGGAAGAUCAGAUAGGAGGAUUUGUACCACAUCUAGUAAAUGAUGAUGUGUCUAUACAACAAUACCGAGAUGAUACAAUUUUUUUAUGAAACAUGAUUUAGCAAAGACCAGGAAUAUGAAACUUGUCCUUUACUUAUUCGAACCGUUGUUGGAAUUGAAAGUUAAUUUCCACAAGUGUGAAUUGUUCUGUUUUGCGAGAGCCAAAGAUGAGCAAGACGUCUAUAAACAACUGUUCGGAUGUGAACUGGGCAGCCUACCAUUCAACUAUAUAGGUAUACCAAUUCACCAUCGAAAACUCCCCAACAAAGAGUGGAAGUGUAUUGAGAAUCGUUUUGAGAAAAAAACUAAGCUGCUGGAAGUGCAAGCUUUUGCCUUACGGAGGACGACUAAUACUGAUUAAAUCAGUUCUCACGAGUAUGACAAUGUUCCUUCUGUCUUUCUUUAAGAUACCUGUAGGGGUACGCAAAAUGUUGGACUUCUAUCGAUCCCGUUUUUUUGACAGAGUGAUGAAGUUAAGAGGAAGUACAUGCUUACUAGAUGGGAUAAUAUUUGUAGGCUUAAGGACCAAGGCGGUCCGGGGAUUGAGAAUUUAGGGGUAAAGAACAAAUGUCUGCUCGGUAAAUGAUUGUUCAGAUUAUCUGUGGAGACUGAAGGCAUGUGUGUACAAAUUUUAUGCAAUAAGUACUUAUAGUUUAAGACCUUGGCCCAGGUCACAGUCAAACCCAAUGAUUCACUCGUUUGGAAAGGUUUGAUGAUAAUGAAAGUGUCCUUCUUCCGCAGAGCUAAAUUUAUCAUUGAAAAUGGUGAGUCAACGAGAUUCUAGGGGGAUACGUGGUUGGGUGAGACGCCUCUAGCCACAAUAUCCAUAUCUAUAUAAUAUUGUGCAGCGUAAGGAGGCUUGCGUUGCCAUAAUCUACAGUCUAAUACUCUAAAUAUACAAUUCCGACAAGGUUUGGUGGGUCAUCGAUGGGAAGCAUGGCUACACCUAGUCAGAAGGCUAAUGGGUGUUCAUUUAUCGAAUGAGUCCGAUAGGCUUCAUUGAAAGUUAACCAUGAAUGUCAUGUUUUCAGUAAAAUCGAUGUAUUUGAAUCUUAUUGAUUCUGAACGAAUACCCAAAACGAUACAUAUUUAAAAGGUUAAAUUACCCUUACGAAUCGAAGUCUUCAUGUGGUUUGUUCACAUGGAGGUAAUUCUCACUAAGGAUAAUUUAGCAAAGCAUAAUUGGGAGGGUAGUAAAAGAUGUAGCUUUUGUGAUGAUAAUGAGACCAUCAAACACCUCUUUCUUGAAUGUUCGCUAACCAAAAUUUUAUGACGAUCCGUUCAUAUAGCCUUUAAUAUCGCACCUCGAGAUAGUAUUGACACGUUAGAUCAUGGUUAAUAGUAUAGCCAACUGCUGGCUAUAAGCAGUCUUAUAGCCCAUCUUAUAGCUAGCUUGUACAAUAGUUAGCUAUAAAAGAGUACUACUUUUAUCAUAUAUGACCCACCUUUCAUGUUCACAAAGCACCUAGGAGCACGUGCUAGAGCUGGCUCUUCACGAAGAGCCCGCUUUCCUUCUCUCUCCUCUUCUCUCUUAUCCAACUCAGCAAAAAUAUAGUAUUUUUAUUCUUAUAGCCUGCCGACUGUACCUUAUUGUACUUGAUCUUAUUUGAAAUGUGGCUAAAUGGAGUUGAGAUAAAUACCGCGAGACAUAUUCAUAUAGGAGUAUGUGCUUUACUUUGAGUUAUAUGGAAUUGCGGGAAUGACAUGGUUUUUAACUGACAAACUCGUAUAAUUUUUUUGCAGAUCAUAUACAGGGCAAUUGUUUUGAUAUGUACAUGGUCGUUACUCACUCCUACGAAAACCAGGAAACCUUUGGUUAAUGGGUCUAUCGGAUGAAAGAUGGUAGCUCGGGAUAUCUACAACCUGUUUGAAUGGUGGUCCAGUAGUAAGAUAUGUGGUUAGACGUCUAGUCCUAUUUUCGCCGGUUGUGGCACCUUUUUUUUUUUACUUUUGGAUUAUUUUGCAGCUCUAUAUGAGCUUCUUUCGAACCACAUACUAUUUCGUUGCUUUCCUUUAUAAAGGGUCCGCAUGCAUCUUUUUGAUGCAGAGGACGGAGGUAUUUUUUCUUUUCCAAAAAAUCCACCUCUAGAUGCUAUCGAUAUCAAAAGCAAUCUAGAGGGGUGCCAAUAUGUCUGAUUUGCGGGAUGUUUAACUUAUUAAGGUCUAGAAUGCCUUAACGUUCGGAGCAGAUGUUUAAAGAGUAAAGUCUAUUUUAAACCUUAAACUGGUAGAGCUCGUUAGAAAAGAACCCUGAACUCUCUCAUUCCGAAAAUUGGUACCUCAACCGAAAUCACAAGCUACUUUAUCCAUCCUCCCCAAAAUUUUCCCUUUGGCUGCCACACGUCCUCCUGUAUGCGUGUUCCUGAGCGGCUUGUUCGACUCGACAAAGUAGCCUGGGACGGUGUUGACUCCUACCAUACGGGAAACCACGGGAAACAACCACGCGUUUUGGUGCAGCAACUAUGAGUGUGUUUGUUAGGGAGCAUGUAGGGGCAUGAGGGCAAAAGUUUUCUACUCUACCUCAAAAAGUUUUCUACUCAAUUUAUUUUUGGGUGUUUGAUAGCGUGCACGAGCUGAACCCACAUACCUUCGUAGCAUGCACGAAGAGAAAAAACACUCCAAAAACUCUUUGUCGGUGAACAUACACGAGCAAAGCGAGCAUCGACGUGUUUUAAGAAAUGUUCAGAAAUUCAAUUUUUUGUUUAAUUUUCAAAAAAGUUCAAAUUCAUAAUCUUGUAAAAAAAUUCAAAAAGUGUUCAAAAUUUCAAAUUAUGUUCAUAAUUUAAUAAUAUUCAUAUUUUCCUAAUAUUUCAAAAUGUUCAGAUUUUCAAAUUUGUUUACAUGUUUUUUCAAAAAACAGAAUUUAUUUUUUUGUAUUUUUAAAAAUGUUAAGAAUUCAAAAUUUGUUUAAUUUUUCAAAAAAAUGUGUAAAACCCCAUUUUUUAUUCAAACAAAUAUCAUAAUUUUAAAAAACAUACUUUUUAAAAUUUUAUUUAAAUAUUGGAAAGCUGUUUAAAAACUCACAUCUUGUAUAAAUUUGCAGAAAAUGUUCAAAUUCCAAAUUAUAUUCAAAAUUUCAAAGAAAUAUUAAAAAUAAUAGUUCGUGUUUUAAAAAGUGGUUCAGGUUCCCAAUUUUGUUUGGAACUCAAAAUUGUUUAGCAUAUCUAAAUAGAUGCACGCUGUCAAACAAAGUUUUAGCUCAACAUGUUUUAGCAUAUACUACUACACUGCUUGUAAACAACAAUAAAUGAAUGUAUUUUUUUACUGACACGGAGAACAGAGAAAAGGAGUCGGCUAGAGAAUAAGAGGCAGUUGUAGCAUGUGGUCCUAGAUAUCAUGGAAAAGUAAAGAUGGAACAUGUAUUAAUAAAAUAGCACAUCUUUGUAUUUAACUAUUGUAUUUAUCGGCUGUAACAUUGAUUAUAAAUGAGAUGACAACACUAUAUAGCCAUCAACUGCAUGUAUAAUCUAUGUCCUGAGAGGAGAACAACUAAUGCUAUCAAACACACACUACGAGGGAUGAUGUGUGUGAGAAAUCAAUCACCUAGCUUCGUUGUUAGCUAGUCUCGCCGCACAUGCCUCGUACAUUAUUUUGACCGUAUGUGCACUUACGCAUCUUGCCGCGUCCGAUGAGUUCAUAGACUAUUUGCGUUAAAUUUUUUACAACCAAACGUCCUAAACCCUUCUCGAACGUUUAUAAUGACGGAUUCAGGAUUAGAAGUUAUCAAGGAUGGACUUUUAAAGGAAACAAAAAAUGGGGGGGGGGGGAAAGCCACAAUACAAUCAAAUAAGACGAUCAAGAGAAAUAAUUGGUCAUCAGCAUGCAUGCAGGCAAAACGGUUAACACAAUAAAUUUAUCAACAUAGUUUCGUUCUCAAGAACUAGGCAAAAAUGUAACGCAAAAUAGCACGACUCCCAUUGGCUAAAUCUUCCAUGUUUUAUCUCAAAUAUUUAAUCUUCUAGUCCAUUAGGCACCUGAAACAUGUAAAAAGAGUCAGAUUAAUCUAAAUCACAACAUAGUACGUACUUUGUUCAAACAAAAGAUAAGAGUAGUGUUUACCUUAAGUUGUAGUUACAUGUAGAGGAUUUGGAAGAUGGCCUCUACGAUUCCUUAAGCCAUGAAAAUGUUGGAUAAUCUUCUUGUCUUCAAUCUCAACAAAUGUAUCUUGUUUGUUGUUUUGAGCAGGACCAUGGCAACGGUGACGACGGCCACUCCGCUUCCCGUGUGGAUGACAUCGUGAACAAGCAGACUCUCUUCUCCUUAUUCAUCUAACACCAUCGGCUGGACAUGCCUGGGCAGCGCUGGCGCCUAUCGGGGACUGUGGGGAGGCCGUGGUGGUGGCAGGAGGCCGCCGCCUCAGGUGGUUCCUGUUGUUGCUGACAAGGAGCCAGCGCAGCAACCCGAGGCAACUAUACCCCCUGCGCCGACUGGGGCUGUAGCGCCUGUUGUGGCUGUGGACAAAAGUGCUGUGCCACCCCGGAUAGAGGGAGGAGAUCGUCCAACAAAGUGGGCGCGUAAGAAGGAAAAAAUGAUGUGUUAUCGCUGUGGUGAGAAUGGGCACUUCGCGUCCGAGUGCUCGGCGGUUCUGUGUGAAUUAUGUCUUAAGCCGGUGCAUGGAUCUUCUUCAUGUCCUCUUAUGACGGGUCCGAUGCCUGUUAUGACUAUUUAUGGGGAUUGUUCUGAGGAGCUAAUGUUCUUUGAGUCCCCUGCUGUUUCCACUUCGACACAUACGCCAGAUGUGGCUCUUAUCGGUAAGAUUACCGUUGCUAGUGGUAAGAUGACUGUUGAGCAGGUGGUGCAACAACUUCGAGAUCUUGUGUCAGCUACUUUUCCGUGGGAGCCUAUUGCGAUUUCUGAAUCUGUUUUUAAGGUGGUGUUUCCUUCCAAAGAAGAUCUGGCUCGCUUACUAAAGUUUGGCAUGUGCAGAGUGCCAAGCACGAGUUGCAUCCUGGAGUUUGAUGUAUGGGCGGGUGAUCAGCCUCAGGGGGUUCCUCUUGACCAGGUCUGGGUUCACUUUUAUGGUGCUCCGUCUAAGGCAGUUAAUGAUUUCUCCGUGGCUUGGAGUUUUGGUUCCCUCAUUGGUAAAACGGAGCAAGUGGAUAUGGUGUUCACGCGUGCUAAUGGAGCAGUUAGGUUGUUUGUCAGUGUUCUCGAUAGUGCAUUGAUCCCGGAGGAAGUACUUUGGAUUUUCGAGGGUAAGAGAUUUACCCUUCGUCUUCAGAUCGAGAGUCCGUCGGUGGCUGUUCAGGAGUCGGCAGAUCCUGACGUUGAUAUGCCAGACAGGGACGGUGAGUCAGGUGCUAAAAAUGCGGACAAGGGACCGCCCCCUCCUCAUUCUGAUUUUGCUCCUGGGUCGGCUCCUGUGGAUCCGAAGGUGGGGGAGGGCGCGCCGGCUGCAGGUGGCGUUGUAGGAGCCCAUGGGGCUCAGCUGCACUUCGGCUCCUUCCAGCUCGAGGCGAUAUCGGUUAGUCGUGCUAAUUCACAGAUGAAACGGUCCUUUGGGAAGCAAGUCGCCGGUGCCGCAAUGCAACCCUCAUCACCGGCUGUAGGUCUACAGCCGAUCUCCCUGGACCGUUAUUUGCUACAAGUCAGAAAGGAGGAAGAUACCACAGCGUUGCCUGUGUCGUGUGUGGGGUCAGGGAAUGAGGUGUCUGGGUCCACUAGUCCGAGCAUUCAGGCUGAGAUGAUUGCCGUCGACCCUCCGGUGGCUUCGGUGUUGGAGACGCCUGUUAUUGGGGGAGAUAACUUGGAGGGUUUUAUCUCCGAGGAUGCGGUCAUUCAGUUUGGGGGUAUUCCAGAUCCGGUGGCUUCGGACCGGAGAGUCAGCGAGCGGAUUCAGGGGCAGUCCGAUGCAGAUGACUUGCAGUUGGGUCGAGCGUCACGGAUCGCAAAUUUGAAGGAUGCUGAAUCGUCAACAGGCAUGUCGGUUAAUUUGGAGCAUUCUAUUUUGCAAUUUUCACCUCCUGAGAUUAUAGAUAAAGCUACGGCUAUCGGGGUUUCACUUGGUAAUUCGAACGCUGAAGUUGCUAAAUCUAUUAAUGAGUUAUUAGACCUAGAGGUAGAUAGGGCUCUGGAUAUUGUUAGGAACUUGGCCGCGGUCAAGCCGAUGACUGAUGCAGAGAUCAGUGACCUUGGGGGGCUGAAUUCGUUUUGUCAGAACUUGUAUCCCAUAGAUGAGCUUAAGGAGGGUCAGGAUUCGUUUCUUGAUAAUUCUUUAGAUGCCGAGGGUGCUGUACAAACUGACUCAGGUGAUCCUGGUUAUACGGACCAGGGCCAUGGGGAGAAAAUUAAACGGACAUGGAAUAGAAAAGUUUAUCCGGUGUCGACCAUCCGUAGGAGUGCCCGGUUUAAGACUGCUAAGAAAUUCUACGAUGAAAGAUGAGAGGAAUUUUUUGGAAUAGCAGAGGUCUACGCGACUUGGCUAAAACAAGAUUCCUCGCUGACGCCACGGGGGAGCAUCAGCUAGACUUUAUCGCUGUUUUGGAGACAGGGAGAGAUAAGUUCUCUUCUCAGUUUCUGAGUUCUCUUUCCGCAGGGACUGAUUUUGACUGGCAUUGUCUACCUCCAAGAGGAAGAUCCGGAGGGAUCUUACUUGGAGUCAGAUGUGACACACUCCAGGUUAGGGAAGUAGUGUUUGGCGAUUUUGCGGUCAAAUUCAAAAUUACAUCCAAAAUGGAUGGUUCUAGGUGGGCUCUAAUAGCAGUUUAUGGGGCUGCUCAGCCGGAACUUAAAUCUGAAUUCUUGGCGGAUUUAGUUCGCAUAUGCGAUGAUCAAUUGCCAUUACUGAUAGGUGGUGAUUUCAAUAUUAUUCGAUGGGCGCAUGAAAAGAAUAAUAACAAUUUUGAUGGUAGAUGGCCAUUUUUGUUCAAUACAAUUAUUGAGAGCCUUGAAUUGCGGGAGAUUGAACUCACAGGAAGGAAUUUCACUUGGGCAAAUUCCUUGCCGAAUCAAACUUUUGAGAAGCUAGAUAGAGUUCUUACCAGUGUAGAUUGGGAACAGAAGUUCCCUUUGGUUACAGUUCGUGCACUCCAAAGGGCGAUUUCUGAUCAUACUCCCUUGCUGUUGGAUACUGGGGAUGCUUCGCAUCUGGGUAAUCGAGACAGCUUCUCUUUCGAAUCCAGCUGGUUCUUAAGGGAGGGCUAUCUGGAGUUGAUUGCCAGGGAAUGGAAUAGGUCUUCGUGCGGCUCAUCGAGUUUCCAACGUUGGCAAAAUAAAAUUAGACACCUGAGACAAUACCUUCGUGGCUGGGCUAAGCAUGUCUCUGGGACAUAUAAAGAUGAGCGGGAAAGGCUCAUUAACUUUAUUGAUGAGCUGGAUAGAAAGGCAGAGUACUGUGUGCUGGAUGAUAACGAGCGUCAACUCAUAUUUGAGGCUGAACAAAGGCUUCGUACUCUCCUUAGAGAGGAGGAGAUGAAGUGGGCGAAUAGAGCAAAAGUAAAAGCUAUUAUUCUUGGGGAUAAUGACACUAAGUUCUCCCAUUUAGUAGCCAAUGGCAAGCACAGGAAGAAGAGAAUAGUGCAGCUUGAACAGGAUGAGGGUACAAUAGUUGGUCAUGAGAACUUAAAAUUGUACAUCUCAAACUAUUAUAAACAGCUUUUUGGUGCUCAUCAUGAUAGUUUUGUGACUAUGGACGAGUACCAGGUUGCAGAUAUUCCCCAAGUUGGGGAGGCUGAUAAUGAGUCUUUAUCUGCUCCUUUCUUGGAGAAAGAGGUGCUAGACGCGAUAGGAGGUUUGAAGUGUGGAAAGGCCCCUGGUCCAGAUGGGUUUCCGGCGGAAUUUUACAAACAAUGCUCGCACAUCAUCAAGCAGGAUCUUAUGGCAAUGUUUGAUGAUCUCUAUGCUGGUAAUCUCCAACUCUUCCAUCUGAAUUUUGGUACUAUUACGCUGAUACAAAAGAAGGACGGGGCGUCACGUAUUGAGCAGUUUCGCCCGAUUUGUUUGCUUAAUUUUAGUUUCAAAAUAUUCACAAAGGUUGGGACAGAUAGACUAACAAAAAUGGCGCAUUCCGUGGUGCAAUCUUCGCAAACCGCAUUUAUGCCUUGGCGUAAUAUCCUCGAAGGGGUAGUGGUUCUCCAUGAGAAUAUGCACGAAAUUCACUCAAAGAAACUUGAUGGAGUGAUCUUUAAAGUGGAUUUCGAAAAGGCAUAUGACAAAGUGAAAUGGUCCUUCUUGCAACAAACAUUGCGGAUGAAGGGGUUCGAUGAGGUUUGGAGAAAACACAUAGAUUCCUUUACUACAAGAGGGAGUGUCGGGAUCAAGGUUAAUGAUGAUAUUCGUCACUUCUUCCAGACACUUAAGUGGCUAAGAGAAGGGGACCCUAUGUCCCCUAUUCUCUUCAAUAUUGUUGCGGAUAUGUUGGUUCUGUUGAUCAAGAGAGCUAACGAAAAGGACCUUGUAGCUGGAUUAGUACCUCAUCUGGUGGAUGGGGGUGUAUCUAUUCUACAAUAUGCUGAUGACACGAUUCUCUUUAUGGAGCAUGAUUUAGUCAAAGCUAAGAAUCUUAAACUCAUCUUGUGCCUUUUUGAAUAGUUAUCUGGGUUGAAGAUUAACUUCAAUAAAAGUGAGUUGUUAUGUUUUGGUGAAGCCAAAAAACAACAACAUAUCUAUAAUCAGCUGUUUGGAUGUGUGGCAGGGGAACUACCUUUUACGUACUUAGGAAUUCUCAUUCACCAUCGUAAACUAUCAAAUGCUGAGUGGAAAUGCAUUGAGGAACGGUUUGAAAAGAAACUUAGCACUUGGAAAGGCAAGCUUCUUUCUUAUGGAGGUAGGUUAGUGUUGGUUAAUUCAGUAUUAACAAGUAUGCCUAUGUUCCUCCUAUCUUUUUUUGAGAUACCUGUGGGGGUACGGAAAAGAUUGGAUUUCUACCGUUCUCGCUUUUUCUGGCAGAGUGAUGAGGUUAAGACUAAGUACAGGUUGGCAAAAUGGGAUAUUAUCUGUCGUCCUAAAGAUCAAGGAGGCUUGGGUAUUGAAAAUUUGGAAACCAAAAAUGGAUGUCUUCUCAGCAAGUGGCUGUUUAGAUUGAUGAUGGAAUCCGAAGGAAUGUGGGUGCAAAUUCUGACCAAUAAGUACCUUCACUCAAAAUCUUUAUCUCAGGUUGAAGCGAGACCUUUUGACUUGCCAUUCUGGAAGGGUCUGAUGCGGGUAAAAAGCUCUUUCUACCACAGAUCGAGGUUUAUCAUUGGGAAUGGGGAAUUGACUAGAUUCUGGGAAGACACCUGGCUAGAAGAAGCGCCUUUGGCUCUUCAAUAUCCGCGGUUGUACCAUAUUGCCCAGCGUCGACAAGUGUCAGUUGCGGCGGUAUUGCGUGAGACUCCCCUUAAUAUUCAAUUCCGCAGAUCUCUAGUUAGGGAUAGAUGGAUUUCCUGGUUGCAUCUAGUUAGAAAGUUAAUGGAGGUUAAUCUUUCUGAUAGGAGUGAUCGAAUCUCCUGGAGAUUAACAACGAAUGGGUUGUUCACGGUUAAAUCCAUGUAUUCUGAUCUUAUUGAUUCCGUACCUAUUCCAAAACCCAAACAUAUUUGGAAGGUUAGAGUUUCUCUUAGAAUUAAAGUUUUCUUGUGGUUCGUUCACAAGGGAGUUAUUUUAACUAAGGAUAAUUUGGCCAAACGGAAUUGGAAAGGUAACCCCAGAUGUUGUUUUUGUCCAAGAGUAGAGAGUAUUCAGCACCUCUUUCUCGACUGUCCUAUGACUAAACUUGUUUGGCGCUCAAUUCAUAUUGCUUUUAACAUCCCUCCUCCUGUAAAUUUGGACUCGUUAUUUGGAACGUGGUUACGGAGAAUUGAUGUUCAAUUGGCCAAAUCUAUUCGUGUCGGAGCAUGUGCUCUUCUUUGGGCUUUAUGGAAUAGCAGAAAUGAUUUGGUUUUUAACAGACUUAAUGAUAUUAACUUUCUGUAGGUUAUCUACAGAAUUACUGCACUGAUCCGUACAUGGUCGUUACUAACUCCUGUGGCAGCCAGGGAGCUUAUGGUUACUGGGUGUGUCCGCUGGGAGAUGGUAGCACAUGGUAUCUUCAACCGGUUUGGAUGGCGGCAUAUUAAUAGGAUAGAUGUUUAGUGAUCUUUAUCUUUUAGCCACUUCAGGCCGCGGCGCGAUGUUCGCCAUGUAUCUUUUUUUCCGUUUUUCAUAUACUUUGUACUGCUUAAACACUAUGUUUGUUUAAUAUAUGGCUAUAUGCAUCCCUCGAUGCAGAGGCCGGGGCGAGGCCUCCUUUUCUAACAAAAAAAAGGAGAUGGCAGUGGAGGCGACGCCUCGUCGGCAGGGUGCGAUCGCUCGAGGCGUGAAUUCACACAUGAUCAAUUCCACCAUCGAUAGAAAAGGAGUCGUGAACAUUAAAAGUAGGCUGCGUACCAUAACAAAUGGCCUCAUCUACUUUUAUUGGGCUUAGUUAAUUGGCCCGUCUAUAUAGCUAGCGAGCCAAUCUCUGUAGCGAGUAGUUCGCGUUUUCGUUCCCUCAUCAUGGGUAAAUUUUAUUUGGCACGGCAUGCGCUGGUUAAAGUGCAUUUUUCUUAACCGGUGCGUGCAGUGUUUUGGUCAUGGGCCCGCCCAUGUAAGUUCCAACGGGACGGAGGGUUUUCCGGUUUUGUGAAGCUUCCUAGAUAGGUUUUUUUCAUUUAGGUUUUUUCAGAACUUGUUUUUCUUUGGUUUUUUUUCCUUUUUCUUUCUCUUCUUUACCUUUUUAUUACUUUUUUCAUUUCCAUUUUAUUUUCUAAAUAUUUUUCAUUUUUUUAAAAGCUCAACAAUUUUUUGAUGAUUUUGUUUUCAAACGAACAAACUUUUUUCCAUAUCAAUGAACCUUUUUCAAAAUCUUACUAAUUUUUUAUUAAAAUUCUAUGAUCUUUUGGAUAUCGAUGAUUUUUUUAAAUUUUAAAUGAACUUUUUUGAAAUUAGAUGAAGCUUUUUUUGAAAUGGAUAAUCUUUUUUCAAAAUUGAUGAACUUUUUUAAGAUUUGUGUAUUUUUUUCAGUUCAACGAACUUUUUUAAAACAUAUAUGUAUUUUUUUAUUUUUAAUGCAUUUUUGUCAAAUUUAGUGAAAAUUUUAAAAAAUGAUAUUUCUUUUCAAAUUCGGUGAACUUUUUUUUCAAAUUCUAUAAACAGUUUUCAAACUUUAUGACUUUUUUUCAAAUUUGAUGAAGUUUUUUUUAAAAUUCAAUGGUUUUUUCUCACAUUUGAUGGCUGUUUUUCAAAUUCAAUAAACUUGUUUCCAUUUUUGUGAACAUUUUUCGAAAUUAAUGAACAUUUUUUCGAAUCGGUGAACUUUUUUUGAAAGAUUUGAUGAAAUUUUCAUAUUUUUGUGAACUAAUUUUCAAAUUGAAGAUAUUGUUUUUAGAUGCAUGAACAUUUUUUAUUUUCAUGAUUUUGAAAUAAUAAUUCAAAAGGGAACGGUUGACCAAUUGGUCCACCGAUCAAUCGUAGAAAUUCAACGAACCAGCUCGAGCGACCACCUUCGACCAAUUAAUCAACGGUUGACAUAUUUUUUAAAUUGAUUUUUUAGUUUUAAUUUUUAGAAAUUCGACGACUGGUGUAUGGGAUCGAGCGACCACCUUCUUAUUGGGCCAACCCAACAGGGGGCGCUAGCGCCUGCAACGUCGUAUAUGAGCACCCCUCUCAUUCUCGAGCAACUCGACGACACGUGAGAGUUUCGAGCGAACCUGCUCGCCUCUCAUGGUGAUCGCUGGCCAAAAUGAGGCAAGGGGGCAACCUAUUCGGUCGAUCAAUUUGUCGGUCGAGGAGGGUGGAUGUGGAUGGCUUCGUGGCGGCCACGGAUCUGGCUGGAGAAGCACAUCCUCCUCCUCUAGCCGUCAUGGAAGACCAAAUCUUCCUCCUCUUCCAUCCAUCGUGGCGAUGAACACAACUUGAUCCCUGCAGAGUCGAUGGGAAUGGGGACCGGAUCAGUAGCCGCGGCGGCCUCCCAUUAGUGCUCGUCAGCAACAACGGAUUUCAAGUGAUGGCGCCUUCACGUACAUCGCCAUGACCGGCAUGGUCUUCCAGGGCAGCGCUCAUCUGCAGGAGGUUGAGCCUCGUCUUCCCCGAGAUCUGCCCGCCACACACCCCGUAAAGACGAGGGUUCGAGCAGAGAUAGUACCUAGUCAAGGAAGGUUCGAACGCAUGGGGGAAGAUGGUGUGCGGCGGCAGGCCAGUAGGUACGAAAGCGGCAAGAUGGUGCGGGGGACGGGGGCGCGAUGGAGAGGCCGGUGGCCGGAGCCUAUGUCGGCUGGCAUGGGGAGUGAGGAGGGGAAACUAGGGAUUUUGCUUGCGCGCGUGUGUGGUGACGUAUCUGCAAAGGGGAAAAAAUUUCGCGGGCUUGAGCCAAAUGUUGGUGCUAAUUUUAUUUCCUAUGCGCGCGCAGGCCUUAUUGCUGGCAAGAGACUGUUGGUCGGCAUUAUUUACCGACCGACGCACCGAUGGGCACAAGAGCUUUCUCGAGUGACCGUUUGACAGGAAAUAUUCUAUUAUUGCCGACCGACUGUUUGUUACAGUUCACAUGAUUUCCCGAUUGACUGUUUGUUACAAGUUUUCCCGACUAACAGUCAGUCGGCGAUACUGACUUUUCCCAAGACCCGUAUGUAGGAAAUGCAGUGUCGUGGUGUAGUGUGCGCCCUAGGAAGCGAAUGAUCUGACAUCAAUAUGACUCUGUGGCAUGCAGGGUUUAGCCCAUGCCACAACAACAUGACAUGCCACUACUAUCAACUUUUGGUUUUUAAAUAGUAAGACCUUGCCUUGUGGUAAUAAACAUUUUUUUUAUCUUUCUUGUGGCCUGUUCACGUUUGAAGAACAUCAAAUAUUGUACCGGAGAACAACUAUCAACAACUUAUCACGAGGCACAUACACCUUUCCUAUGCAACUUUCUAGUCGACAUCUGGAGAAUGAUACUAACAUAUCCCUCCUACUAUGCAUGUUGACACUCAAAGGUAGAACACUGGUUGUUACCUGGUCAAUUUCUCACACAAGGUGAAAGAAGGGCAAAAUAUCAAAGCAGGAAAUGGUGGGUUGAAGUACUCACAGUUAAUCGACUUAGGUGUAGAGUCAAUGGACUUGGGUAUAUUGUGCUUUUAGUUCCGUAGAAAGUUAACUUACAUUUUGUAGGCAAGUGUGUUAAAGUGUCCCAAAGUUGUAAGUUAUCUUUUUUUGUUCAGGUGGUUGUGAUGUUCAAUCUCUAGGAGCAAAGUGCCUCUGCAACUAUUUUAUUGUUAAUUUGUCACUGGUAAUAGAUUUGUAUUAUGUCCAACAUAGAUAGAUUGGUGUGCAAUAGUUUGGUUUAAUCUUGCAAGUAAACUACAUUGGUGGUAGUAAAAGGAAAAUGCAUGCAAGUUAAAAGAUAUUAAACUUGUUUGUCACGAUGAUGAGUUGAAGGCUUACGGGUACUAUCAACAGUAUGUCACUUCACUUGAGGCAAUACUCCAUUCUAUUACCCUAUUAUUGAAGACUACUUUGAUGCUCGUGCGUUGCCACGGAAUAACAAAAACACAUGGAUCAUAUAAUUGUUCUAGUGUGUGGAAAGAAGUAUGGACCAAUUGUUCUAAUUCAUAAUUAUAUGUCAAACAUGACGCCAUGUGGUUUUGUCAAUUAUCUCUCUUUCUUUCUUACAAAAACAAGAUCUAAUUCCCUACCCCUCCUUCCCAUCUAGCUUCAAUGUCUUCAUCCAUCCUUGUUUUUUAGCAUUGUCGUUGCUUUAAAAGUUUAUCAUUCCACCUUACCAUCGGUUCAAACCUUUUAUUACUGUUCGCGGAUCUAUGGAAUGAUCCUCACAUACCGUCAGAGAUGAUGACAUGAAAAAAAACUCUAAGAGUAGUAACACAAGAAACAAUUGUCGAAAAUAAAACAUUGUUAACAUGACUUGAUAUGUUUCAUAUAGAACUCUAGUAAGUUUAGAAUAGCUUUGAGAGAAUGAUAGUAACUUGUUAGUUCAAUUAGCCCAAUACCCAUUCGUUACCACGGGGAAAAGGUGAGGAGUACCUACACACGCAAUGUCCCAAGCUCCAAAGUUCCUAUGCAUUGACUACUACGUGAUUCAUCGAUCAGUCGGUUCCAUGUAUAUACAUCCAACCAAACAAUUACACUACAAACUGGAUUGAUUACUAAUUGUAAACCUACUUACCUAGAUGAUUUAAGAAACAAGGACAUGCAAACCAAAAAUGAAUCGUUACUUCUUGUGCAAAUUUCAACAUGGCUUGAGAAAAUUGUAGAUCUAUUUCUCGCGUAGAUCUGAACAUGAGUUAAGCAGACUAUAGAUCAUGAAAAUUUGACAAGUACUAUAUAUAGACUAACAUGACAUGCAACUACUGGGGACAACAUAUCUCUGAGAAAGGGUGAUCAUCAUGAACCUAUAAUGGAAGGGAAGGAAUACACCUAGUAAUCCAAGCAUCACAAAUGCAUCAUGUUCUCCAGAGGCUAUCCAUAGCGUUUCUGAUAAUGUGGUCCAUAGGACUGAAUCUGCUCUGGAGGCUAACGCGACACCUUUCAUAUGAACUGGCCCAAUGAAGACCAUGUACUUCCCUGUGCAAUAUAGGUGUACAGAGAGAAAGAGGUGCAUUGAGGAUGUGUUCCCUAACAAUAGCAACCACACAUUGACCUGGACAAGAAAGCCUCUUCUGAAUAGCAAAUGCGGCUAAUUUUUAUUGCAAUGGUGCCGAAUGCCCAUGCAUGAUGAUCUUCUAACCUAUGUUUUUAUGCCAUAUGAAAAAGAGGCAUUAUUUAUGUAAAGUGUGGAGCAGAAAAAGGGUUCAGCGGUAAUGAAACAUGCAAUUUUCCUCUCAAAAUACUUAUUGCUACAGAAUAUCAAGUCCAGCAUAAUUAGCUUCAUUUGAUUCAGUUAUUCUAAACUAAUAAUGUUUUUCUCAUCCAUUUGCUUAUUUUAAAGAUUCCAAACUUAAAUGUUAAAGGUUUCAUCUUAAAUGAAAUGUAUUAAGCUUGUAUAAGGCAGUGGUUGUUUUUAAACAGCACUACAAAAUUUCUAGAGAGAUUAAGAAAUGAUUGAAUAGUACACCAUAAAUAUCUGUAUCUAACAAAUAAUCAAAAAUGUCAUGAAUUAUUAUUAGAGCUUCAUAGCGACUAAAUGAUCAAACAUUGUGAUAUACACACCUUCAAUAAGCGAACAAACAUGGCCAUAUUAGCACUGACCCUCGAUGGAUUCCCCACAACAACUUCUAGUGCAUUCGCCUUGGCAAACUUCCAUGCCACCAUCUCUGCCAAUGUCUUCAAAGGAGGGCACUAAACCUAUCAAAGGAAAUAUAGAACCUGAUAUUAAUGUGGAGUCAGGCCGAAACAUGUUGAAUCUUAACAAUUAUGCAACAAUUUCAAAUGGUGCCCUUAUGUGUGCCUUUCUGUCCAUUGAUCCAAGAACAAGGCUUGCCUAUCAUUGAAAUUACAUAAAUAAUUUAACAUAUUCAUAAACAGUUCACCGGACUAAGGACCUUCAUAGAUUAUAAGAAUAGACUAACGCUGGAACAUAUCAUGGACCCUUGGAAUACAUUUUUUAAAUGUUUAAAUGGACUACUAUUGACACAAGUAGAUUUAGUCCAUUAAAAUUGAAGUCGGUGAAUUUAAAAUAAAGAACAUCACAUAAGAUUGGAUCUCAUUAGUGCAAGUUUGGUCAGCAAAACUCACGACAACUUUUUCAGUAAGGAUAGGAAGCAUGGUGCCAUUCCAUGAAUCAGCAGAGGAUGUGAACCGGGGAGAAUGGUGGUAGUAGCAGUGGGGCGGCAAAGCCAUCUCGAACACUUGGAUCAUGAGGAAGACCAACCUGCUUAAUUUAACUUGCCUGCAACUGAAGCGAUAAUUGUGUGUAUUAUAAUCGACACUGUAGAUGGGACAUACCCAUCAAAUUCAUCAGAAAUAAUAGAGCACACAUUAGUAACACAGGGAAAAAAAUCCUUGUGGGUGUGUAAGACGGUCCUACAAAUAAAUUCACAAAUACAACGAGAUUCCACAAUAAAAAACUGACAUGAAUGAUUUUUAUCAAGCAGUAUUUUGGAAAUUUAAGGAUCCCCACAACAUAUACAUGAGAUUAAGACAAUGAGAAAACAUACAGUCUGCAUUCAUAAACUAAUUAGAGCUAUAAGUAUUCAUCUAGGUAGAAAAGCAAACAUCAAACCAUAAGCUCUGUAUGCCGGCACCACUUGCCAGAUUUCCACCGGCGACCUCCUCCAGCUAGUUGCUCCUCCCACGGUUCCACCGCCUCCUUCCAUCCGUCGCCACCAGCCGGUGCCCCUCCGUUCGUUGCGCCAUCAGCCGUCCCUUGCCACUAGUCGCCCCUUCCUUGGGAGAAGAGAAUGUGGGGGUGUGGCAGUUCCUGCAAUCAUGCUACAGGGAGAAAAUGGGGUGGAGGGAGGGUAGAGAGAUAGCAUUACCUGGGUCGUUGCUCGCCCCUAACAUUGGUGUGCCGCUCCUAAUCUCACCCCUCCUGUGUGGUGCUCUUGACUCGAAGAAGAAGAGAUAUGGGAUGCGAAUGAGCUCCUCCUAAACUCGAUGAAAAAUAUAUGACAUGCGAACGAGCAGAUUCACCACUCCAAUCUAGGUUGGCUGCAGCUUGUUUCCGCUCGUGGGAGGGAGGUGGUCGGCGGCGGCGAUUUAGAGAGACGAGGGAUCGAGCGAGGGAUUUGGGGAAGGGGAGUGGGAGGUGGGACGUGCGUACGUGGGUUCUUUAUUUUCUUUUUANNNNNNUUUCGUGCGGCAACGGGUGGUGGAAGUCCGAUUUUUCAGCCGUUAGAAUUACACGUAUGCAUCAGUUGAACCAUCACGACGAUGACAGAUUGCCUUUUAAUAGUAGAGAUAUUCUUGGAGUCUUAGUCACAAGAUUCAUCACUUUUGCAUGUCGGGUUUCGGUUAGAUGGUACUUUGCGUUCACACUGAAUAGUCAUUUUAAAAAAUAGCAAAAAGUCCUCUUUUAAAUGCCAAGUUAUGCACCGUCUACGUUGUGUUAUGGGCAGCAUAUUUUAUCAAUGUAUUUAAAUAAUAUUGUAUGUAAAAUUUAAUGUCCGUGCAGCUAAAAAAUAUGUUCAUGUGUCACUAAAAGAUAUUAUUAAGGCUAGCUGUAAAUGUUGUAUCAUAUACUAGUAUCAUGCAUAUGAUACUAGUUUAUGAUACCACAUCUAUAAUGCAUAAUAUCAUACUGCUCCGUCUCAAAAUAAGUGUCUUAUGCUUAAUACAAUUUUAUACUAGAGCUAGUACAAAGUUGAGACAGUUAUUUUAAGACGGAGGGAGUAUGUUAGUAUCAUAGGGUAAUUCAUUAAUGAUCAUGCAAGACACAUAUAACACAUCAUUUAAUAUGAUACGGUAUCAUGAUAUGAUACUCAAUCAUCUCUUUCUUCAUUUAAUUAAUGCCACCUCAUCGAAAUUGCCUAGUUGGCAUGCAUGAUACUACCUAUGAUACUCUCAUUACAGGCAGCUUAAUAUUACUCACUCCGUCACGGUUUACAGGGCACGCUUCAACAAUCUCUCGGACCAAGGUGAUUAGCGAUUGAACUGAAAAAUAACAUUAAUGGUUAUACCAUCGUGCCUAAUUAUUGAAAAAGUUUAACAUGACGUAAUCUCACGGACAGUAAACGAGCCAUCGUCGCGCAUGCACUGGUGGAGACCCCGCAAACACAACUGCAUGCAGUUAUUCCACCCCGCAUACACAUCUGCAUGUUGAGAAAAUUGUGGGCUUCAUUACGGUUACCACACCCUAAUUAAUUAAGUAUUAAACCAAACAUGCCUAAAAUCCUUCCGGUGAUGGAAAUGCAUGGAAAUGAAAGUGCCCACUGUAAACUGUGACGGAUGAAGUAAUAAAUAAAAAGCUGAAAUUUAAGAGUCUUUUUAAAGAUUUUACUAGAAACUACUCCAUCCGCCUCAUAAUAUAAGAGUGUUUUUUACACUAAACUAGUGUCAAAAACACUUUUAUAUUAUGGAAGAAAGAGAGUACAGGCAAAGCAAAAUGAGUAAAUUUACACUUUUAAAUAAGUCUAUAUACAUUUAUAUGUAAUGUGUAGUGAAAUUUUUAAAAAGACUUAUAGUAGCAACAGAGGGAGUAGAUGAGUUCUAGACGCUUCCUCUUUUACAUGUCAAGUUAUGCAUAGUCUACGUUGUAUUAUGGGAAGCAUAUCUUACCACUCUAGCCCUCGUGCGCAAGGCACUCGCAGUUCCAAAUGUACGAGGACAACUCAUGUGCACACACCGUUCGGCAUGAGCGGUUCGUUAUCUCAAAAAAACAAUCAACAAGUCAUGCGGACAAGUCGGUGAACUACACUGCCAGAUCGGUGUAUCGGCGUCUUUGUUCAGGGAUGACUGAAUCCCCGUUUGCCCCUGCCAUCUGGAGGUGUUGGGCUUCGCUACGUUGCAAGAUUUUUGCAUGGCUUAUGAUGUAGUAUCGCUUAUGGAUCAGUGAUCGGAGGGCGAGACAUGACUUGCAACAGGAGCCCUCUCCUUGCUUCUCGUGCUUACAGGAGGAAGAUGAUGUGGACCACAUCCUUGCACAUGUUACGCAAGGGAAGUGUGGGAUAGAUGCUUUGAGAUGCUUUAGAUUAACAUCGUCAUUUCGACCAGUGUCAGAUUUAAAGACUGGUGGCUCACUAGUAGGGAGAGAUUCUCGGGCAGGAUUAGGAAGGGUUUUGACUCCUUCAUCUUGGGAGCGGCUUGGGCCAUUUGGAAGCAGCGGAGCACUCGAGCCUUCAACAAUAUUGCUCAACAAGCGACACCGGAGCACCUUGUUUCUCAGGUGUGGCAAGGCAUCAGAGAGUGGAAGGCGGCUGGUUGGGGAGCGGGAGGUCUAGAUCCUUUUGUGAAAGAGUUACCUUUGUUUUGGUGUGGUUGUUUCAUCUCAGAUGUUCGCAUCUGAUGAUGAUUCCUUAUACUUAUUAAACCUCUGUCUUUUUAUAAAAAUAUGGUACGUCAUUGGCAUACUCUAAAAAAAAUGUGCACACGAAAAGAAUGUAGCCCAACCACACAUGGCCGGGUUAUAACGGAACUCAGUACGAAAUACGCUAUAUUUCUUUACACGCUAAACUCAUGAACUUGCUUAGCUCGGUUCAGUUCCACGCACGACGUUAUUACAGGCCGAGCUCCUCCCUGCUACACACGUACGGAUAUAUGCAUGCAAUAAUUUAUAUCGUACUAGUACUUAGGAGAAUCAAUCCCACGCAUCCAUCAAUUUGAAGUAUUUAAUCGCCGCCCGCCGCCGGAAGGAUCUAGGCAAGAAUUUCGUUGAGGGGCUUGGUGGCGGUGGGCAUGGGCGCCGCGGCGACCGCCUGCUGCUGCUGGAGCUGCAGCUGCUGCUGCAUCAGCUGGUCCUUGGCCUGCUUCUUGCGCUUGGCGAGGUCGAGGUCGCGCUCCAUCUUGCGGCGGUACAUCUCGGUGAAGGUGAUGGGCUCCUCCAGUAUGGGCUCCUCCCCCUCCCUCACCGCCAGCGGCCACACCCUCGCGUCCGGCGCCGGGUUCUGGAACGUCGCGAUCGACAGCCUGCUGCUCUCCCCGUUCACCACCGCCUGGUGGUCCGCGUUCUUGAACCUGCCGUUGCUCAUGAACUGCAUGCACAUAGCACUGUUAAUUAACGUGUUCAAUUGGUGUUCGAUCGAUCGAUCGACCGAUUAUGGCAUGCAUGGCAUCAUGGAAGAAGAUGAAGGGGGUACUGACGUGGCCGUGGUCGCCGAGGUUGACGACGAAUGCGCCGGAGAUGGGCUGGACGGUGAUCCAGUUCUUGCCGCCGUCGCGGGUGGCCUGGAGGCCGCCGACGAGGUCCUGCAGGAGGAGCGUUAUGGUGCCGGGGUCGGUGUGGCGCUUGAGGCCCAGGGUGAGGUCGGGCUGCGGGCACCGCGGGUAGAAGUUGACCACCACUUUCUGGUCCAUGUCGACGCACGCCUUGGCCAGCGCCUCCGUCUCCAGGCCCAUGGCCUCCGACAGCACGCCCAUCAGAUUGCACGACAGCCCCAUGAGCCGCUCGCUGUACCGCUCCACCACCGCGCGCCACCCCGCCGGCUUCUCCGGCCACCGCCCGUAGUCCCGCGCCUUCACCGGGUACGAGAAGUAGGUCACUAUCUCCCUCCAGUCCUGCACCGCCUCACCCUGCAUCGCGACAUGAAAUUCUCGUGAGUUUUUUCCUCAUCCAUACAUGGGUCAAUUUCAUCUUAUAAUCAUUUUACUGCUGAUAGAUACUCCCUCCGUUCCUAAAUAUAAGUCAUUUUAAAGAUUUCAUUAAAGGACUACAUACGGAUGUAUAUAGACAUAAUUUAUAGUAUAGAUUAACUAAUUUUGUUUUGUAUGUAGUCACUUAGUGAAAUAUCUUAAAAGACUUAUAUUUAGGAACGGAGGGAUAGUAGUAGUGGUCUUUUUACGUGGCAUGCAGGACAUGCAUGCGUGUGUACCUGUAGGUGGCUGGAGACGAUGAAGCCGCCCUUCUUGCCGCCGGACAUGUCGUACCGGAGCUUGUCCUCGGCGGGCAGCGCGAAGAACUCGCGAGCCAGGCGCGUCAUGUCGGCGAUGAGGUCCGCAUCCACGCCGUGGUCGAUCACCUGGAAGAUGCCCCAGUCCUCGCAGGCGGCGGCCACGCGGUCCCGGAUCUGGGCCCGGCGCGCGCCGUCGAUGCCGUGGAGCGAGAUCAGCGGCACCGCGUCGCUGAAGCGGUCGUGCGCCACCUUGGGCCUCUCGUCCUCGUCCCGCACGAAGGACGGGCGCAGCGUGGCCUCCCCCCACGCCUCCGUCGGGAGGAACGUCUCGUUGCUCACCGGCGCCAUCGAUCCGCACGCCGGGGAUCCUACGCGCGCUUGUGUCGCCGCCGGCGUCUGUCUCGUAUGAUGGCUUGUUUCUUGAAGGGCUCGGUCGAUGGGGUUGUGGUUUCCUGGGCGUUGUACGCACGCGGAUAUAUACUGGGAGAGGGCGCUGUGUAUACGUUGGAAGGCGAGGGCAGACGCGACCUGCAAGUCGCGCGCGCGCAUGCAACUAACUACUAACCAAAGGAAAGUCGCCCUCGGGCACUCGUGUUAGGUGCGCAACUAACCAGGCCGCGUCCAUCCAAUGAGCCGUGCGUAUUGAUCGCGAUCUAUAUUCUGCAUGCAGGUGAAUACACUGAGAUUUUUUUUAACACACUACAGUCGCACAUGUCGCACGUAUGCCUAUAUAAACUCAGCUUGUGAAUGCACACACAUACACCUUACACGUAUGAGCCCUUUCGAGAUACUAAGACGCAAAUCAUUCUGGCUGUCAUCAAAUCCUGACAUGGUUGAGCACUGACCCUAUGAAGUAGAUAUUAAGGAGUAGAAUAGAUGAGCAUGCAUCGCAAAAUUCAAAUUUUUUUGCAAAUUUAAACUAAAAUUUUUAGUCUUAGGCAUUCAAACUAUGAAAUUCGGUUCCAUCUAGUUUUAGGUUUUGAAAUCUGUGAAGGAACAAACAACAACAUGAGAGACAUGCACACACAGAUUCGGUUUCAUCGAAGUGUGACUCAGUCUUAUCGAAGUUGUGCUCAUAAAUCCUAAAACCCCGUUUCGGUGACACCGAAACGAACUAUCGGUUUCACCGAGAAGUCCUUCUGCUGUGGACAAACCCACAUCGGUGACACCGAUACGUUUCUCGCCGGUGACUCCGAGCUUGCAUACAACGGGGACGUAAACCUAAAAUUCGUUGUUCGACCUAUUCUAAGGAACUUUCUGGUGGAUAGGAACGUUGCAUAACGUGGCAAGAGAUGAACAAGGCCUAAUGCACAUAAAUUGGAAUUGUGAGCGCAUGACGGUGACGUAUUCCUGCGGCGAGGGCGUGCGGGAGGAGAUGGAGAUCAUCCAGAGAUACGGGCGACGAGGCAAGGGGGUGCGGGAGUCCGGGGUUUGAAGAAAUUUUCAAAGUGUGGACCCGCAUAUUAAUAUACCCAUUCGUUGUCGGUGACACCGAGACAGAAAUAUCGGUUCCAUUGUGAUGCAUAACUGCCUGCAGACAAAACAACUCAACGACGCCGAGAUUUCUAGAUCGGUGGUACCGAGGUAGAAAAUCAGAUCAAACCUAGUGCCUCGGUAGAACUGAGUUUGGAGUAUUGGUCACACCGAAAAACACUUAGGAGGUUUUGGAAGUCAGCCCUUGUCGAAUCGGUGGCUCCCAGUGCUCCCCACCCAAAGGGUCAGAAAAGUGCUUGCUCAAAUUUUGUGAUAAAGUAUGAAUAUAGUUUGAGUCAAGAAAGCAUAGAUAGCUAGAGGGGGCACCUAGUCAUUCUUGUAGAUCUAAUUGGCGAGACAAAUAAAAGCCAAAUAUAAUAACAAUUGGAUAUCCUCGAAUAAAAAAAUGCAUACCAACAUGCUCACACAAUAGGAUGUCAAAUAGAUAUGUGAAAACAUGCACAACCACUCUAGUAUCUACCAAGCACUUUGACGAUGAUGGAGUCAUCUAUAUAUGAGAUAUUGACUUGAGGAUUCAAGCAAGAAUGUUUGAUCAUAGGUUAUACUCAUCGUUUAAGCAGAAGUGGGGUUGCCACUUUUACAUAAAGCUUUUAAUGUGUUCACAUUUAGUAAGAUGCUUUGACUUAAGCCUUAGAGUAAAGCUCGCCCUUGAUGUGAUAUCUCCUUUUAGAGGGAUAAACUAACCUUGGGUUUUAUCAUUGUAGAAUUCAUGGAGGUGAGGUAGUAGUGGAUGCUCUUUGUUGAUGAAGAUCAUAUUGAUUUGGGAGAUAUGCUUGUUGUUUUGUACUCUUCUUAACUACAUGGGUUAGUCCCACACAAGGAAUAAAUACAAGGAUAUCUAUGGACAUGGAGUGAAGCAUAUGUAUGGUGAUGUCUAUUGGUAAAUUAAUUACCUUGUCCCUUGCUUGCAAACGGGUGAAUUUGUGACUACUUGAUCUAUUGCAUAAGGUUGAAGUUGAUUGCAAAUAGCUCUUGCCAAAAAUGAGCGUGAGUGAAUUUUGUUGGCGGGGUCACCCCUCAAGGACUUCUCUAGUUCUUCUUCUUGGGGACCCACAUCAACCUGAUGGGAAUCUUGGAGUUGAAGUAUCACUUGAUGAAGUAGAGCUAGUAGUGGCCUUCGGAACCCACUUGACCAUGGCUUGAGGUUCUUCUUCAAAUGAGUCAAUUUCCUCUUAAAGAUUGUCCUUUCCCUUGAGCUUGUUUUCUUGUGGUGGAAGAUCAUCUUGAGCUCUUGUUCCCUUGAGAGAGUAGGAUCCUCNNNNNNNNNNNNNNNNNNNNNNNNNNNNNNNNNNNNNNNNNNNNNNNNNNNNNNNNNNNNNNNNNNNNNNNNNNNNNNNNNNNNNNNNNNNNNNNNNNNNGGAGAGGAGGAGAUGGAGUGGAGGAGAGGAGGAGAAGAAUGAAGGUGAUAGUGGCUGGCCGGCCCUUUUAGCCCAACUUAGCAGUGGCGCACCUUGCACUGGUGCGCCAUUGCUAUUUUUUUGAAUUGUGAAGGCGGGAAAAUAGUAGCGGCGCAUUAUUCGUAAGGUGCGCCAUUGCUAAUUUAUUUAUUUAUUGCAUUUUUUUUUUAUUUUUUUGCCUCCAGAUCUUAAAAGCAUCAUAACUUUUUUUCUGUUAGGUUUUUGGAAAUUCUAAAAAUCUUCAACGGGGUUCCCCCAGUUGAAUUCGGAUGUAACUUUUCGAGUAGAUGAUUUUUCAUAUAAAAAACUUUUCAUCGGAGGUCGUAUGCAAAAGUUACGGCCAUUUUACCGAAAUACGCCGGCCUUUUGCAAAAAAAAUCAAAAUUCGUGUUUGUUAAUUUUCCUAACAACUAGAACACAUAACACAUAGGCAUCUAUUUUUUUGAAUCUUUUAUCAUUUUAUUUUUAAAAAAAAACUUAAAAGGCAAUCCAGGGGGUGUGUUUGUGCGUGUGUGACGUUAGUAAUGGCGCACCACGCCCAGGUGCGCCACUACUAUGUAGCAUAGCAGUGGCGCACCUAGGUGUGGUGCGCCAUUGCUAUGUCUGGUGGGGGAAUGGACCAAAAAAUAGCAAUAGCGCACCACGCCUAGGUGCGCCACUCUAUGUAGCAUAGCAGUGGCGCACCUAGGUGUGGUGCGCCAUUGCUAUGUCUGGUGGGGGUGGGGAUGGACCAAAAAAUAGCAAUGGCGCACUGCUCAUGUGGUGCGCCAUUAGUAAAAACAUAGCAAUGGCACACCUGAUUCUGGUGCGCCACUGCUAUAUAGCAGUGGCGCACCACCAUUAUGGUGCCCCACUAAUAGUGAUAUUGGGGAUAAGCCUUUUUCUAGUAAUAUUUUGGCAUGCCACGACAUGUUGGCACGCUUUGGCACGCCCCCAUCAUGUCUACUAGUGUCUGGGGGCUUUGGAGAUGCCCGUGGGAGACUUUGGAGCCGAGGAGAGAAGUGGGGUCAAGGAAAAGUGAGAGGCAGUCUGUGCGAGGGGUGAACCAGAAAAGGAAUUGAGGAUUUUGUCUUCCUCCCAUUGAAUUAGAGUUAGGGCUCUCGGGUACAGAUGUGGGGCUGAACAACAGACUUGUGAUAAAAGUUUGGAGUGUAGGAAGAAAGUAGAAGGGGUGAAAGUAGUUGUUUUACUAAAUCACCACAAGGUGUUUGAUGCAGGUUUGAGCAAGAUAAACCUCACCAAAUCUAGUGAUAAUUAACAGUAUUAAAUGAUGGGCAAAAAUAGUAGGAUUCACCAAGUUUGAGCUCAUUUGAGCAAGGUUAACAAUGCAAACAUGGAAAACUCUAGAAAUGGGCAGAAUCAGAUUCUGUGAACCAAGGUGAGUAAACCAACUCCCACAAAUGCACAAAUUGGUGUGGCACCCUUAUUUGAGGGUUGUAUCACUCCUGCAAAGUUUGAGAGCAAUAGGGCAAACUUGGUAAUGUAGAGGUGUCCAAACUUGGUUCUGGACACGAAGGGUUUCAGGUUUCUUAGGUGAAUUAAAUCAACCUGGAUGGGGAUGAAAUUUUGCAGGGUUACCUCAUAUAACAUGUGGGACAUGGUAUAAUGUUCCUGAUAUUUGUAGAGAAUAUUUCCUUUGAAAAUAUUUCAAAAACGUAGAAUAGGCGGAAAUGGUUUUGAGGGGUUUUGCCUAAUAUUUUGAACAUGACCAUGUGUUGAAACUCACAUAUAUGGAAAAUAUAAGUCCUAUGGAUUUCCGUAAAUUUUCUCAAAUAUUUUUAAGGUAGGAAAAUAUUUUUUCCCUAUGAAAUACCAUUUUUUGCCUCGGAAAGGGGUGUUUAAAUAAAAUAGGAAAAUAAAUUUUAAAAUAAUUAUUUUAUGAUCUUGGGAAGUUAUUUUAAUAAUAGAAUCAAAGAAAAAUCUUUAGGGUAAAACAUCCCUCCUAGAUUAAGGACUUGUAGUGCAAAUCUCAAUUCAGGGGUUUUGAAGCUUUAAAAAUAAAUAAAUGCCCUUUGUUGAAANUGCCUUUUGUUGAAAUAAUAUUUUAUUAAGAAUAGUUUCUGGUCCUAUACACAUGGCAUGUUCAUUGGCAAGAGUUUGGGUCCAAGGAGAGAAUUUUUUAGAGAGAAGGUAGUUUUGGUGAAUUAAAACACAAUCAAGCACACAAGUAAGUUGUAAUCAAAUCAGACAUGACAAGCACUCAAAAAGUUUUAAUUGGUUCCAAAAUUUGUAAAAUAUAACGUGAGAAAGUGGUACAAAUACAGGGUGUGACAGUUAACGUACCACUGAGGAGCUGUGCGUGCCCUUAUCAACCUACGAGGUUCAAUAGCAACAUGAUCUCAAGUUGUAUGAUCAUCAUCAUUAGCUUCCUCUUCAAUUGAUGUAGGCUUCACAGAAAUAUCUUUCUGUGUUGCGCUACUCUAGAGGCUCACUAGGGACAGUGUGUUGUCUAUGUAUCCAUACAUGUAUUUGAGUUUCCAAUCAAUACAAUUAUAGCAUGGAUAAUAAACGAUUAUCGUGAACAAGGAAAUAUAAUAAUAACCAUUUUAUUAUUGCCUCUAGGGCAUAUUUCCAACACCCCCGGGCCGCUUCAACUCCGAGGGGCGACGCCUAUGGUGGGGCGACCACGACCGCGCGAUUGGAGUACCCGGCGCCCCCCUCCUUCUCCUGCCGUCGCGGCAGUUCAUGGGCGCCGAGGAGCAUGGAGACGUUUUCCUCCUCCUCGUCCGGCUCCCGCCCCCGCUCCUCCGGGUUGCUUGUGCCCCUCACCGUCAAGCCGGAGCCACGGGAGACACCGCUCGGGUGGCGCAGGCGCAGCGGCGCCCUCAUCAUCAACGAGGGUGGCGUCCCUUCUCCUCCGGCCUCCUCCUCCUGCCUCGUCAUGCCGAAGACCGAGCCAACGCACCUACCCAUGAAGAAGGAGCACGAGGCCAUGGCCGUCGACGAGGAGACCGCCCUCAAAUGGGCGUGGGAUGACUACAUCCGGAAGGAGAUGGAGCGCGAGCGCCGCGCCAUCGAGUAGAUCAUCGCCCGGCACCGCGGCCACAAGGAGGGCGUCGUCGUCAUGCUCAAAGUGACAAGGAGGCGCCCGGGCCGUCCAACCCCGUCCGCCACGGCGAUCCAGGACAUGGGUGCAACAAGGACGACGGCUGGGGCGACUAGUUUGGUCGAAUUUUGACUGAGUUUGCUUUUUAAAAAUGGCGUCUCGGCGACCUUGGGGGUCAGAUGGAACCCCCCCCCCCCCCCCCGCCAAUCGAUUUUUUUGGCGGCACGCCCCAAGACGNNNNNNNNNNNNNNNNNNNNNNNNNNNNNNNNNNNNNNNNNNNNNNNNNNNNNNNNNNNNNNNNNNNNNNNNNNNNNNNNNNNNNNNNNNNNNNNNNNNNAGUCACGGUUACGCACACAGUUGGCAUGUUUUAAUUAAAUUAAUUUCAAGUUAUCUAGAACCAGUGUUAAGCAAAGUAUCCACAUUGCCACAUAACCGCGGGCACGGCUUUCCGAAAGAUUUAACCCUGCAGGGAUGCUCCAACUAGUCCAUCACAAAUUACCACAAGCCGCAUAGAAAUCCUCAAUCACGAAGCUCGCGAUCUCGUCGGAUUCCCUAGUGGAAAACCUCAACUCUGAGAUUACCCAAAGCAUCACCGGAAUCCCGAUGCACAAGAUAUCUCGUCAAAGGUAAAACUAAUCCAGCAAGGCCGCCCGACGUGUCGCCAAUCCCGAUAGGAGUCGCGUACCUCGUUCUCAGGACACGACGGAUGAGCUAGACGUCGGGAUCGCUAAACCUCCGGGUGACCAGAGGGGCGCCGGACAUGGCUCAGGUGGGACCAACACUCAUGAGGAGCACUGGCCCGGGGGUUGAUUAGAUUAGUCAGCGGGUGCCGGCGGAUCCCUAUGCAUUAUUAUUAGGUUAUUAGGCAAAUGUAGUACCAAAGUUGGGCCUUGCCAGACCAGCUUUANNNNNNNNNNNNNNNNNNNNNNNNNNNNNNNNNNNNNNNNNNNNNNNNNNNNNNNNNNNNNNNNNNNNNNNNNNNNNNNNNNNNNNNNNNNNNNNNNNNNCCUCCUACCGUCGAUGUAGCCGAGCUGCUCAUGUGUAUGCCUGAUGCUGCAUUUUGAUGUUGUUGUCGAAGGUAUGCUGGUGAUGCCGCUAGUUGCUGGUGUGUUGUUGUAGCUUUGAUGUUGUUGCCGCUAGCUGUCGCUGCCGAUGCCCUGUGCUGUUGCGGUGCAGUACCUCUUGCCUGUUGCUCUUGCUUGCGGCUUGCUGCUUAGUGCUAGGUUGCUUGAUGUGCCUUAGCCGCUGCUUGUCGUAUUUGCUAGCCUGAAGAUGUUGCUUGCUUCCCGCGUUAGUUGCUGUCGCCGCUUGCAGCUUGUGUUGCCGCUGCUGCCUGCUGCUGCUUGCCGCGAAGCCGCUAUGCUGUUGUUGCUCUGCUCGCUUGUCGCGGCUAGCUGCCUGCUGCUGCUUGCAUUGCAUGCUGUCACCGAUGCUGUAGCCGCUGCUUGCUGCUUGCCGCCGCCUGCUGUUAGCUGAUGUUGCUGUCGUGUUGCCGCUUGCCGCUGGUGGCUGAUGUUGUUUGCUGUCGCUUAGCCGCCGUGUUGCUUGCUGCUAAUUAGUUGUUUCUCUUGCUGCUGCCAUUGUUGCUGCCUCGUGCUUGCCGUGCCUAAUGCUAGCUUGCUUUGCUUGCUUGCGUGUUGCUGUAUCUAGUUGCUGUUGCUAGGCUAGGUUGCUAGAUGUUGUGCCGAGUGUUGCUGCUAGCGCUAGAUGCCGUAGCUUGCUACUUGUUGCUGCCGCUUGUAGCCGUGGCCUCCGCUCGCAUUUGCUCGUGUUGUCGCCUGCGUCGCCGCGUACACCAUCCCUGCCGUGAGUCAUCGACUAAUUCGUCGAGCACCACGACGUCCUCGACGACCCCCGGAAACCGUGUUCGACUCCCGACGCCGAAGAUCGUCUACCGACAAGAGAACGACUACCGUCGACGAGAUCGAGUACAACUACUUCCACGACCUCCACGACGUCCGCUUCGACCGAACCCCUCCGAUUCGCACGCGUCGAAGGUAUACCGAUGGGACGUGUCGUGAACCGUAUACAUGUGUUGUAUGAGAUGUAUUGUUUGUUUGCACCUUAUGUUGCCCGUUGCACGUGUACCUCUUUUUUGUGCCUCGACACAUGGGAACCCGGUAACCGGGAUCACCCCAUUCCUUAUUUAGUGUUCCCGCACGCGCUCCCUAUUCGUUGGCAUGAUAUCUCGUCGAGUUAUCGGGAUAGGAACGUUGUCGUGGCUUCGUUUCCGUUUUGCCGCCAUGGUUCCCUCUCGCUCGCCGUGGCGACACCUGUUUCUUUCUCUUCUUGCACGUGAUGUUUGAACUCGCAUGCAUGACGCAUUCAUGGCAUAUACAACUUGUGUUGCAUGUUCUUGUGCCGUAGCUCCUUCUAUGCUCCGCGAGUUAACCGUCUAGGAUGCCAGGUAGAAUCACCCGCUUCACCCCUUGCCAUGUUAACAAUAAUUUAAUAUUGUCGUGUAAAUUAACGGGAGUGAACUAAUAAUUAAACGUAGAGUUUCGUCGAUAUGCAACCCGUUGCAUAUCGAGCUUCAUUUAAUGUGUAGUGUAUGCGUGACGUGAAUUGCCAUGCCAUCCCUUGCAUCAUUGAACUGAUCAUGCAUCAUAUUAGGUUGUGCAUCAUGUUGUGCAUCGUAUGGUGAACAUCUGUGUUGAUGUAUGUUUCCGGUUUGCUCCUUCUCGAUAGAGUUCCGCAAGCGUGUCGGAAUGUGAGGACCCGUUCGACUACAUUGGUUCGUCGACUUCUUCGAGUUGUUCUUCUUCCAAGCGGGAUCUCAGGCAAGAUGACCAUUUCCCCAGAUACCAUUACUAUCAUUGCCAUGCUAGUUUUAUCGCUUCUAUCGAUUAUGUCUCGUUGCCUACCACAUGUUAAAUAUCAGUCUCUCAACAAUGCCAUGAUUACCUUCAACCUGUUCGACCUAGCAAACCACUGAUUGGCUAUGUUACUGCUUGCUUAACCGGGGGGGGGGGGGGGGGUGCAGAUGCUUCCAUGUGAUAACAUGGGUUCCUUGUCUUAUCACCCUAUUUAAAUGCUAUUUAAUUUAAUGGACCUAUAUACUUGGUAAAAGGUGGAAGGCUCGGCCUUUCUAGCCUGGUGUUUUGUUCCACCUUUGCCCCCUUUAGUUUUUCGGUUACCGGUGUUAUGUUCCAUAAACGAGCGCUCCUAACACGAUCGGGGUUGUUAUGGGGACCCCCUUGAUAAUUCAUCUUAGAUUAAAGCUGGUCUGGCAGGGCCCAACUUUGGUACUACAUUUGUCUAAUCACUAAUGAACUGCAUAGGGAGUAAUUAACCCGAGGAAAAUUAAUCAACUCCCGGGCCAGUGCUCCUCAUGAGUGUUGGUCCACCCACCUAGCAGUCGGCGGUUCCACCACGGGGCAACUCGAGGUUUGGUUCCCGUCCACUUUGCAUAGACGGUGUGUCCUGAGAACGAGAUACGCGGCUCCUAUCAGGUUCGUCGACACACCGGGUGGCCUUGCUGGAUUAGUUUUACCUUUGACGAGAUAUCUUGUGCAUCGGGAUUCCGGUGAUGCUUUGGGUAAUCUCAGAGUUGAGGUUUUCCACUAGGGAAUCCGACGAGAUCGCGAGCUUCGUGAUUGAGGAUUUCUAUGCGGCUUGUGGUAAUUUGUGAUGGACUAGUUGGAGCACCCCUGCAGGGUUAAAUCUUUUCGGAAAGCCGUGCCCGUGGUUAUGUGGCAACGUGGAAACUUUGUUUAACACUGGUUCUAGAUAACUUGAAGUUAACUUAAUUAAAACUUGCCAACUGUGUGUGUAACCGUGACUGUCUCUUUCGUGAGUUCCUUCUCCGAUCGAGGACACGGUGGGGUUAUGUCUGACGUAGGUAGGUGUUCAGGAUCAUUCAUUUGAUCAACUGUAGUUCACGCCCGCUAUGCGUAGAUCCUCCCCCUCUUUGUUUUCUUGUACUCGUAAGUUUAGCCACCAAAUAUAUGCUUAGCCGCUGCUGCAACCUCACCACUUAACCAUGCCUCACCCAUUAAGCGUUGCUAGUCUUGAUACCUUUGGAAAUGAGAUUGCUGAGUCCCAUGUGGCUCACAGAUUACUAUAACCCCAGUUGCAGUUACACGUAAAGGUUACUUGACGCGAGCGCGUUGAUUGUUCAUUUGGAGUUGCUUCUUCGAUCUAGGAUGGGUUCCAGGACGGCAGCCUGGGAUAGCAAGGAUGGACGUCGUUCUUCUUUUGUCGUUUGUUUUCGUCCGUAGUCGGACCCUGCUCUUACUCUUGAUGAAUAUGUACUGUACUGCUGUGACUCUGAUGUAGCUUGUGGCGAGUGUAAGCCAAUUCUAUAUAUAUAUGUCCCUUCUUUUCAGUACAUGUACUUGUAACGAUAUCCAUUCUUGCGACACGACGAGAUCCGCUUCUAUCCCUGACGUGGCCUUCGUGCCAUAUUGAGGAUAGGGUCGCAUCUUGGGCGUGACAUGUGCAGACCCUGCCGGUUCGAGAACUAUACACACAUGACCGAGACACUCUCCGGUCAAUAACCAUUAGAGGGACCUGGAUGCCCAUAUUGGUUCCUUCUUAUUCUAUGAAUAUCUUUAUCGGUUGAACCUCUAUGUCAAGGACUCAGUUAAUCCCGUAUGAUGUUCCCUUUGUCCAUCAGUAUGUUCCUUGCCCGAGAUUCGAUAGUCGGUAUCUGCAUACCUAGUUCAAUCUCCUUACCGGCUAGUCUCUUUACUCGUUCCACAAUACAAGAUCCCGUGACUAACUCCUUAGUCACAUUGCUUGCAAGCUUCUUGUGAUGUUGUAUUACCGAGUGGGCCCUAGAGAUACCUCUUCGUCAUACGGAGUGAUAAAUCCCAGUCUCGAUCCACGCCAACCCAACAGACACCCUCGGAGAUACCUGUAGAGCACCUUUAUAGUCACCCAGUUACAUUGCGACGUUUUAUACACACAAGGAAUUCCUCCGGUGUACGAGAGUUGCAUGAUCUCAUGGUCAUAGGAACACAUACUUGACAUGCAGAAAACAAUAGCAAUAAAGUGACACGAUCAUAUGCUACGUUCAUAGUUUGGGUCUUGUCCGUCACAUCAUUCUCCUAAUGACGUGACCCCGUCAUCAAAUGACAACUCAUGUAUAUGGUCAGGAAACCUUGACCAACUUUGAUCAACGAGCUAGUCCUUUAGAGGCUCACUAGGGACAGUGUGUUGCCUAUGUAUCCACACAUGUAUUUGAGUUUCCAAUCUAUACAAUUCUAGCAUGGAUAAUAAACGAUUAUUGCCUCUAGGGAAUAUUUCCAAUAGUCUCCCACUUGCACUAGAGUGAAUAAUCUAGCUCACAUCACUAUGUGAUUUACAUUGUAAUGAAUCUAACACCCAUACAAUUUUAGUGUUGAUCAUGUUUCGCUCGUGGUAGAGGCUUAGUCAAUGGGUCUGCAACAUUCAGAUCCGUGUGCACUUUGCAAAUACUUAUGUCCUCCUCCUUGAUGUAAUCGCGAACGGAAUUGAAGCGUCACUUUAUGUGUUUGUUCCUCUUGUGAAACCUUGGUUCCUUGGCUAGAGCAAUGGCGCCAGUGUUAUCACAGAACAGAGUCAUUGGAUCAAGUGCACUCGGCACAACUCCAAGAUCCUUCAUGAACUCCUUCAUCCAUACACCUUCUUUAACCGCCUCCGAGGCACCUAUGUACUCCGCUUCGCAUGUAGAAUCAGCUACCCCACUUUGCUUAGAAUUGCACCAGCUUACCACACCCCUAUUGAGAAUAAAUACGUAACCAGUUUCAGAUUUAGAGUCAUCCGGAUCAAUGUUAAAGCUUGCAUCGACGUAACCCUUUACGACGAGCACUUGAUCACCUCCAUACACGAGAAAUAUUUCUUUAGUCAUUUUCAGGUGCUUUAGAAUAUUCUUGACCGUUGUCCAGUGUUCCAUUCCUAGAUCACUUUGAAACCUUCCCGGCAUACUUAUGGCAAGGCUGACAUCAGGUCUUGUGCACAGCAUUGCAUACGUGAUAGAGCCUAUGGCUGAAGCAUAGGGGAUGACGCUCAUCUUUUCUCUAUCUUUUGCAAUUAGUCGGCAUUGAGUCUUACUCAACUUCACACCUUGCAAUACAUGCAAGAACCCUUUCUUGGACUGAUCCAUUUUGAACUUCUGCAAAUCUUUGUCAAGGUAUGUACUGUGUGAAAGUCCUAUUAAGCAUCUCGAUCUAUCUCUAUAGAUCUUGAUGCCUAAUAUGUAAGCAGGUUCUCCUAGGUCCUUCAUUGAAAAACUCUUAUUCAAAUAAUCCUUUACGCUUAUCAAAAAUUCAAUAUUGUUUCCAAUCAGCAAUAUGUCAUCCACAUAUAAUAUUACAAACGCUAUAGAGGUCCCACUCACUUUCUUAUAAAUACAAGCUUGUUCNNNNNNNNNNNNNNNNNNNNNNNNNNNNNNNNNNNNNNNNNNNNNNNNNNNNNNNNNNNNNNNNNNNNNNNNNNNNNNNNNNNNNNNNNNNNNNNNNNNNAUAAUGUGAACUAUUGGCAGCAUAGUAUUCUGUUCCGUCGAGAGCAGGACACAUUUUUUUGGUAGUUUAAAGAUAAUAAAGGGAACCACUGUCCACUGGUAACUUAGUACUCCUGAUUUGAUUUGUAUAAAUGACACCUGACCUACACAAGAGAUGAGCUGACUAAGCGCCUGUUUGUUUUUUUAAUUUGAAUUUUGAUUUUGCUAACCUCAUGUAUCAUGGGGUCUGACUAAGCGCCUGUUGCCAGUUCGUUUUUUUGCUUCUUGUCGGAAGUGUUUAUUUUCUCUGAAUCAGGCCAGUGAUUCAGGGAACAUUGCAGGCUACAACAGAUCAAACAAAAUAAUUUAUUUUUUGGCGGGAACAAAAACAAAUAUAUAUUUCAGGCACAAACCUUUAACUAGUACACAUAUCUGGUAAAUACUUGGACCAGUAGUUAGCAUAUGCUUCCAGGUUUCAAACUUGUUUUUUUGACUAGUAAAAGGCCCGUGCGUUGCAACGGGUAAUAAAAUUAUGAUCUUUCAUGAUGAUGACCAUAUUGUGUUCACACAUCAUCGUUUGAUUUUGAAAUUUUGUGCACAAAUAAAAGAAAAUGUUUUUUCUUUUAAAUUUAUUCACAAGUUGAAGCAAUCUUCACGUUUCCAAAAAAAUAUCAUGGUUGUCAAAAAUCUUGGUAAUUCAAAGAAUUAUUCUGAAUUUCAAGAUUUAUUUUUAGAAAACAAACAAUAAUAAUCUAAUCCACCCGAUAGUUAAUUCUUCAAAAUUUACAUGGGUAUAUUGUCACAAAGACCCUGAUUUUCAGGUGCGGCCAUGUGCAAGCCAAUCAAAAAAGGCCACAUCAGCACCUACGUAAAUUUUCGGAGAAAACUUUACGUAAGUCUAGCAAAGCUCUUUUUUCUGUUGGUAAUUGAUGUACAGCGCAAUAAAAUUUUGACACAAAUGAAAAUUCCUCUAAUUUACUGGUCGAUAAUUUUACUUGUAAAAAAAUUCGUGCGGCCAGCAUGUGAUGAGCAGUUUACUUGUGUAUCUGCAUAAGUUGAUGAAAUGCCCAUGCCAGUUGACCUUAAGUACUAACUUUAUGUUUUUGACAUCAAAUUAUGGUAACCCCAUUUGGUUGAACAAACCUCCUAAUCCACAACCCAAUAUUUUAAUCACUCGAUCUUUUGGCUUCACAGAAAUUACAAGUAUUCGUUCAGCAAAAAAAUCUACAUAGAAAGCACCAGCAUAUUAAUCGUUGAUUUUGCAGCUUAUCUUGAGAGUAUACGAAAACACACCUGGGUAGCAAUGAUAACAGUGAACUAGGAAAAGAAUGAAGGGUUUGUAUCUAUCAUUGUUGUUGAAGACUCCUCAACAUACUUGGCUUUCACAGCAUCAUUGAGCUCUUGUAGGAACGAACAUAUAGAUUUUGCUCUUGAUUGACCCAAGCACCCUUCAUCCACUGAACAUAAAUAUAGAUCAAUCAGUAAAUAUGAGUGUCAUAAUUUUAGGAAAUGAAUUCAUACACCUAGACACCUGACAGAAAGUAGCAGACAUGAGUUACAGUGAUGAACUGAAGCUGGAACUAAUAGUGUGAAUAUUUUGCUCUGCAAGUAAAGAUGAGAAGAUUUCAUCAAAAAGUAAAGAGAAAACAGUUUACAGUAGAUUCUCUAUGUGCAGUCUGAGGACACCUCCUAGUCCAUACUUCACAACCUAGAUCUCUCUUUCUUCUUCCUUUCGAAAGUGGUACAAACUUCCGACCCAUCUCUCAAGCCCAGUAAGAAAUUUGAACCAGCAGCAAAUUAUCGAAAAUUUCAUAAUCAAACUACCAAACCAACUCGAGACAUUUCUAGAACCUGACUACUCAAUCUUGAGCAAAUUGGAACAAAUUCACCAAGACAGUUUACAGUGCCUUCUUUAUGUACGCCUCCUAGUUAAUAAUUCACAUCUACGGAGUAGAUCUCUCUGUUUUUUCAUUUCAAAACUUGUAUGAAUUCGGACAGACCUCUAAAGCCUAGACAACAAAUGCUGUGAAGAUUCAUGAUGAAACAUACUACAUGGACUACCGGACAGAGUCCAGACAUUUCUAGAGCCUGACUACAUAUUUGCUCAAUCUUGAGCAAAUUGGAGCAAAGUGGCCAAAUCAGAAACUACCAAAUCGACCUAAAAUCUUUCGUGGUUGGCGACUAUGGGAGACCAAUUUGAGGUUAACAAGCAGCAAAAUGAAGAUAAUCAGGAGCGUAAGUGCAUAACACAUACCUCUCCUGCUCGCAAUCCUACUCGGCUCCGGCCACGCGCAGACGCCCCCCAAUCCGCUACCAAAUCAGCAGCUCCCCGGAGACCACGGAACACAACGAGAGCAGAAUCGCCUCAAAAUCUCAGGACUAUCAGAGGCACCGAUCGAAUCGCCAGGAGGAGCACCUCGCUUCACCCCGCCCUUUCCCCCGCCACCGCAGCUCAAACCGCAGGAAGUAGUAGUAGUAGUACUACUACUACUAAAGAGCAGCGGGCGCAGCAUCUAGGCAGGCAUGGACGGAGCCUCGCAUCAUUUCUUUCCCCCACCCCAAAGCCAACGGAGAAAAGACGGACCGAAAAGCGGCCACCGAAGGAAGCAAGGAAAGAAGGAAGGNNNNNNNNNNNNNNNNNNNNNNNNNNNNNNNNNNNNNNNNNNNNNNNNNNNNNNNNNNNNNNNNNNNNNNNNNNNNNNNNNNNNNNNNNNNNNNNNNNNNNNNNNNNNNNNNNNNNNNNNNNNNNCCCCCCCCCCCCAGACAUGGCCGGGAGAGACCCACCUCGACGCCGGUGACCCCCGUCGGUGAGGAUCUCCUCCACCGCCAGAUGCUCCGCCUGCGCUCCGGAUCUGGGCGGAGCUCGAGAGGAGGCAGGGCUGUGGGCGAAGGCUUCGGCAGCUCGCCGGAGGCGGGAUCCGGCGUGGAUCGGGGACGGCGACCGGCGGGAGGAGCGGGGCGGCGGCGUGGUGAGCAGAUCAGUGGCUCGGGAGGAGUCGGUGGCUGCCUGCUGCCUUGGCCCGCCCCGAUGCAGUUUUUUUUUUUGAAAAAACGAAACGUUUUUCCACUUAACGAAGGACCGCGGGUUGAUUACAAAAAAAUAGAGGAAUGUUUUUGUAAAACGGCCAGCGACGGACGACAGAAGCGCUCCGUGCUUUAUUAUUAGGGAAGAUACUAUUAUCCAUGGACCUAACAUAAAACACCAAAGGAAUAAGAAAAAUAAAAGUGAGAGAGGCCACGGUCCAAUAUUUAAUUCUGAGCCAAGCCUCAUUCGCACCUGGUGAACAAUAAAUUGAAAAUAAUUACUAAAAUGUUGGAAAAAAACAGAUUUUUGUUGCAUGAAAGAUGAUUGACUGUGUGAGGUGCGUGUAGAAUUUUAAAGCAUUUAAACAUCCGAGUAGCUUUUAGGGAAAAAAAUCAAAACCGAGCAUUAUACAAACAGUACAUUUUUUCACAUAUUUCCAAAAAAAAUUGACUAAUAGCUAUCCAGAUAUCAAAAUGCUCUGAAAUUUAGCACGGACAUUACACACCCAGACAUCUUUCUUCACAAAAAUAUAGGAUUAUUUAUUUGUUCACUCCUGGGUUCAUAUGAGCCAGGGGGCCAAAACGCUGCUCUCCUUUACUAUGCGCAUUUUUUUUCAUGUUUGUGCCAACGAAGCAGGGGAAAAAAGGGACAGAUACAGAAAUAAUAAAUUAAGUUGAUUGAAGAAUAAACAAAUAGUGCAUUUGUAGUUACUAUAUAAUGUAAUGUGUACCGGUGCAUGCAUGAAAAAGCAGAGUUCCUGCUUUAGGAGUCAUGACAGAGUGUCAUUUGUCUAGAUGCACUUCUCGCUGUAUCGCAUUUGAAGCUUAGCCUCCACAAUAUAUAAAAGAUUAGUUUUGACUCGUAGCAACGCAGUCUGAGUUCGUUCUUGUGUAAUGCCAGAUUGCCACUAAUAUAGGUUGCAUCUACUAACUCGUGAACUUGUUCUCUUGCGACCGGGGUCGUGUAAUAAUCGUAGCAAAAUUAAUCAUUUACUGAGAAAAUACGUCACGUACCAGUCCCAAAAUGGUCCUGAGAUGGCAUGCAUGGAACAAAUGAAUUUUUAACAUCUUGCUAGGAUUUCAUGUGAUUUUUUCGUGGCUGCAAGUUUUUGUGUGCAGAUGAGGCAAAAGUAUAUCCUUCGGUUUGUUAGUUAAAAAGAGACUGGAUAAAAUCUUGCAUACAAAAAUAUUUUCAGUUGUUCAGCCAUUUUGUUCUGGACAAGCCUUGCGGGGUGUGGCCGUGUGGUUGAACAAUGCAUGCAUGGUACUUCCUCCGUUCCUAAAUAUAAGUCUGUUUUGAGGUUUCAUUAAAGGUCUACAUACGGGAAGUAUAUAGAUAUACUUUAGAAUGUACAUUCACUCAUUUUAUUUUGUAUAUAGUUUUCUAGUGAAAUCUCUAAAAAAAACUUAUAUUUAGAAACGCAGGGAGUAUGAGCUAGAAGGAACAAUUUUCAUGAUGAUGCAAGUCUUUAACUGGUUUCUUGUUUGACAUAAACUCAAAAUGAUUUAAGCGUUCUUGAAUAUCCAUAUUCUUCUCCCCGUUAAUCAUUUUUUAUGAGCCUUAACACAACAGAGGGGUCCUCUUCUCCGGUCUCACAUUAGUUUAGUGUGGAAACGGAACAAGAGUUAAUACGCCAAGGAUAUUUACAUGAUUGGAUACAUGUAUCGUUGUAGGCUUAUAAUCAAGCCAACAAUAAGGAAAGAGCAUCUACAACCAAACAUUACAAAUAUGAUUUCCUAAAUACAAAUAUGAUUUCCUAAAUAUAAACGGACGCGUCCGGUCAAUCAUCGGGAGUGUCUUUUAUUUGUCCGUUGACGCAGCGAUACAUCUAAUUUUUUUUCCUAGUCGUUAAGACGUGCAGGGAUGCCUAGCAAAAAAAGCCCAUGCGUUGCAACGGAAGAGAAAGUAACACACGCUUUGAACGUAAUAUAUUUUCACAUGGCAUCACAUUUGUGUUGUCGACGAUGGCCUCAGUGCUCACACAACGAAAACGCGUUUGAAUGUACAAUCACUCGGAAUAUGAUGAGAAAUAUGUUGUUUCUCCCCACGAGAUUUUCGAAAGGUGUGCAUGUGUGGUUAACGAUGUUUUCUUUUCUCUCAAUUUGGUUUUAAUUUAAUGGACAUUUAUUGCAAUUCGUAUGGUCGUCGGAAAGAGAGAAAAAAAAACCAUGCACUACAGAUUAAGUUUGCACCAAAAAUAAUAUUUAAGAAGUAUUUAAGAGCUAAAAUUAAUAUCCUAUUUAGAUUCUACAUAUUUUUUCAAUCAAAUUUCAUAUAUAACAUGUUAAAAUCGAAGUUACGGAUUAAAAGAUAUGGAUAAUUUUGUUUUAGAUAAAAUAUGGAUUGAUUAACUGAAAAGUCGGGUUUUUUUUGUUAAAACAAAAAAACGUUUCGGCUGACUUAAAUAGGGACGGCGGGUUGAUUACCUGAAACAUCAGGGAGUUUUCUGUAAAAUGCAAAAAAAACGGUUCGGCUCUGACUAAAAGAUGGAUCUCGAGUUGAUUAUCUAAAACUGUGAGGACUUUUCUACUAAACGACAGAAAACGGUUCGUUCUGACUUAAAGUUGGACCGCGGGUUAAUUAACUGAAACUGCGAGGGCUUUUCUGUAAAAUGACCGAGAUGGACGACAGAAGCGUUGCGCGCUUUAUUAUUAGGGGAGACAUGUAUCGUUGUAGGCUUAUAAUCAAGCCAACAAUAAGGAAAGAGCAUCUACAACCAAACAAUACAAAUAUGAUUUCCUAAAUACAAAUAUGAUUUCCUAAAUAUCAACGGACGCGUUCGGUCAAUCAUCGGGCGUGUCUUUUAUUUGUCCGUUUACGCAACCAUACUUAAAAAAAAAUCCUAGUAUGUCCCAUCAUUUGCACGUUAUUGGUGGAGAGGAGGAGAGAGAAAUAAAAAAAUGAAUAAAGAAAGAAGAUGUUCUGGGAUGGGUCAGAUCCUAUGUGGCGGACUGGCCGGGCUCGCGCGGGCGCAUCCGCGAGCCCUCAUAUCCUCUUCAUAUUUGAGAUGGAUGUGAGGGUUUGCGCACAGUCCGGUCGUAUAGGAAUGAUAUGAGGGGUCCGAUUCAGUCACUUUUUUUCUUCUCUUAUGUCGGGUCACUGAAUCGGCGCGUCUGCGGAUGUAUGAGGGGUCAUUUGAGGCGUCCAGAUAUAGAUACUCUAAGAGCAUCUAUAGGCGGAGCCCUCAAACCCUUCUCAAAGCCCAGACACGUCGCCCGCUUACUGCCCGGUCACAAAAAUUUGACCCAAACGGGUCUCUCAAACCGGCCUUAAACAUCCGGGCUAAUCGACACCCCCCAUUUGCAGCCCAAAUAUGGGGCGAAUAUGGGGGCCCGGGCGCGUCCGGGCACGCUCGCCACGUCGGCCUGACGGCUUGGCCCCACAGGGACUCGUCGAAAAACCCGACGAUCCAACGGGCGCCUCGACCAUCGGCGACGUGUGAACGCUUUGUGGUACCGCUCCAGGGUCAAGGCCGGCUAUUAAGCCAGCCGGCGCCACCCAGCCCUAGCACACCCAAAUCCUCCCUCUCUCCGCCACCACCCGAGCACUUCCCUCUCCGAACCCGUCAGCCAUCCCACCACGUCGCCGACAUUACACGAUCCGAAGGGAAGUGGGGCUACCUCUGGAACCGGAGUUGGAUUUCGAGGAGGGGGAGGAGAUGGGGGAGGAGCCCGAGGCGUCGCCGCAGGAGGCGCCACCGCAUGAGGCGGAGGAGGAGGGGCACGAGGCGGCGCAUGCGGCAGAAGAGGCGGCGUAGGCAAUGGCGCACACGGCUCUGGCCCAGCGCAAACCAUCUACGAUGAGGGCUUACACUAGUUAGUAUGUAGAAUAUAUUAUGAAUCUUUUUAUAUGAAAAAGAAAAUUAAAAUAUGAAAGAGUUAAAUGUAGAAAAAAGAAAUUAAGACGUGAUUGGUUAGUGUGUGCGGACGGGUUGUUCACUUGUUUGAGAGAUCGGAUUGAUAAGGUUCCAUACGGCACGACAGGGGCUUAAUUUGUCCCCUGCUUCGCUAGAUGCUCUACGUGUCAAGCACCAACGCCAAUUAGCGUACAUAGCUAGUAGGUGCCCGCAACCGUGCCGGGAGUAAGUGCAAAUGAUGACUCCAUGUGUUACAUGCAUGCAUGCUUGUCGUGGUGUGGCAUAUGCGAGCAUGUGGCUGACUCUGCAACACAGUCAUAUACUCCCUCUGUUUUAAAAUAUAAGUUUUUUAAAAAUUCUAUUACAAAAUAGAUAUAGAGAUAUAUAUAGACAAAUUUGAGGAUGUACAUUCACUUAUUUUGAUUCAUGAUGGAAUUUCUUAAAAGACUUAUAUCCCCUUCGUUCUUAAAUUUAAGUCUUUUUUAGAGCUUUCAUUAAAAGACUACUUACAAAUGAAUAUAGACAUACUAAAGUAUAGAUUCAUUCAAUUUCCUUUGCAUGUAGUCUCUAGUAAAAUCUUUAAAAAAAAUUAUAUUUAAGAACGGAGGGAGUAGUAUUGUAUACAACAUUUGAAUACGACUUCCACCGUGAAAGUAAUGAUGAUAGUGGCUUGCAUACGACUUAAAGCCAGUUUAAUGGUACCGUAGCACCUUCACUCUCACAUGAGCUGUGUAGCAUACAUCUAUACCUAUACGUACCGAUCGAGCAACUAGAAGCUUGGGCAGUCUACUCCAAAGAACAUGGUUUUGUGAGCGACGCGCCAAUCAUCUGAAGGAUCAGUACGUGUAGUACUUGAUAGUCACGGUUAGUACGGCCAAAGCAGUUGCGAGUUGGUACUGUGGCACUUUCAUUUUCAGAUGACCUUAGGCCCUGUUUGUUUUCAAAUAAGUCACCAACUUAUAAGUUAAAAAAUGUAAAAAGUGACUUAUUUUACCAAACAGGUUCAACUUAUAAGUCACCCCAACUUAUAAGUCAUAAGUUGCUCCACCCCAACUUAAAACUUAUAAGUCACUUACUUUUUGGGUGGGUCCCACCACUUUUUCAGCCAGCCCACCCGUGACCACGCCCACGCACCGCGCACCCCACUCCUCCCCCAUCGUUCCAGGCACCCGCGCACCCCAUCGCGAGCUCGCCGCCGCCGCCCUCCAUCGCGAGCUCGCCGCCGCCAACCUCCCUCGCGAGCUCGCGAUGGAGGGCGGCGGCGGCGAGCUCGCGAUGGGGUGCGCGGGUGCCUGGAACGAUGGGGGAGGAGUGGGGUGCGCGGUGCGUGGGCGUGGUCACGGGUGGGCUGGCUGAAAAAGUGGUGGGACCCACCCAAAAAGUAAGUGACUUNCUGCCGUGGGGACGUCCCCAGGAUGACGUGCGCCGAGUGCAUCCGCUCCGCGGGAGCCCAGGCCCAGCGCCUCUGCUCAUCCAAGAAGGACGCCGUCGUCUGGCUCGACGCCUGCAUGCUCCGCUACUCCGACGAGCCGUUCUUCGACGAGGUCGACGACGACCACAGCGCCGUCGUGCCGGGCGGCGUCCAGAGCGCGGCGAGGUCUGUCCAGUUCGACAACGAGGUCACCGGUGUGGUCAGGUGACUUAUAAGUCAGGUGACAACCAAACAAGGGUGACUUAUAAGUCACUGGUUUUAAGUCACCUGACUUAUAUGUCACGUGACUUAUUGGAACCAAACAGGGUCUUAUUAUAAUCCGGAGGAAGAAAGAACAUGGGUUGAUAGGUGCACGGGGCAGCGUCAACCAUCAGAAGGAGCAAGGAGCAGCACAACUUAGGCAUUUGGAAAGGCCGGUCACACCCAUGUACAUACUGUAUGGUAAAAGCAUCUACAACCUGAACUUAUAAAAACGACCACUCAAGAAACAAACAAAAACGACCACUACAAGCUCCUCCUCCUCCUCCGUUUUCGACGGGUCUGGAGGGAUACCCGCAGCGAUGUAGGCGGCGCGUUAAGUCUAGAUCUCCGCCUCAAUCUGCAUCCGACGCUCCGACGUGAGCUGAGCAUAGGCGCCGAUCCUACGGCGGACCAUAAUCAGGUCGGAGAGCGGAGGAGAGGAGGCGGUUGGGCUUGGGUGACGGCGAAGGGAGGAAGGAGGUGGAUGUGCUAGGGCUGGGCGACACCGUCCGGCUUAAAUAGCCGUCUAUGGCCUCGGGCGGCGAGUCGGAGCGGCACCACACGGUGUUCACACGGUGGCGACAGUCGAGGCGUCUGUCGGACCUUCGGGUUUUUAGACAAGUCCACGUGAGAGCAUGCCGUCAGACUGACGUGGCAGACGUGUCCGGACACGUCCGAGCUCUUUUAUAUUUAUUUCAUAUUUGAGUUGAAUAUGAGCGAUGUCGGUUAGUCCGGAUGUUUGAUGCCCGUUUAAGAGGUUUAACUCGAUCGAUUUUUUAUGACCGAUGUUUAAGACGAUACGAGGUGUCGGGAUGUAGAUGCCCUAAGCGUGAGACGGCCCUCUCACUCUCGAGUUCAUUGUGUGUGCACAUGUACUUGAGUGAUCGUGUAGGGUACAUAAGGAUUUGGGUUGGAACAGUCGAUCAGUCCAGUCACUCCAGUGGACGUCACCAUCAUCGCCCCACCGUUGAGAUUCCCGCAUGUGGACGGCCCCGCGCCGUGACACGUACGUACGUACGUACGUUGAACGAUCGAGGCCGCGAUAGUAGUACUGAUUUUCUAGCUGAGACGUCAUGCGCACGGGCACAGUCUCGCCUCUCACGGAUGCUGUCGCUGGAUGCGGCCCAGAAUUUUAUUCGAAGCGGAUUAGCUACUUAGUGUUGAAAGUGAAUGAAUCAACUAUUCUUUUUCAUUAAUGAAUGAACAUUUAUAUACAGAGAGAACGGACACAUUCAAAGGAUUCGACGGUUUGAGGAGGCGGUUCCUGGAGGCGUCGCUCCAGAAACGAUGUGUUGGUUCGGCAUCGUGGGAACAUCCACAUGCGGUUUACAAGUAGAGAUUAACUUUAACUAAUUACAUUAAUUAAUUAAAUCCUAACACUCCCCCUAAUCUAUACUUGUCCUUGAGCAUGUCCAUCAUCUUGAAAUAAUCUCCCGCAAAAACCCUCUGAAAAAAUAUGAGGAGUAGUAUAGUAUAUGCUGCUAAAACUUCUUCAAACCCCGUGGAAAAAUAAGAAGAAAAUGAUACAACAUAUAAUGAUUAUUGCCUCUGUUAAUUCUAUAUGAAAUGUAUCCAUAGAAUUAGAGGACAAAAAAUAUAUCAUAUAUACUUUUCCUAAAAACCCUGGUGAAAAAAACGGACAGUAUGCCAUAUGAUCUUAUGUUGAUAUUACCUCAUUAAAAAUCUUGAUGAGAACUAUGAAAGUAAACUCAUAAAGGGAAAAAUAGUGCAAUAUAAUGUUUGAACGGGUUAUUUUUCAGAGAGAAACUCCCCCCGAUCUUUGCAAAUCCUGAAGUCGUCGAAUACCUAUUCCAUGAACAUAUUUUUCAAAUGUUGAAGCUCGGAGUGAUUUUGUAAAUAGUUCAGUGAGAUUAUCGCACGAUUUGACUUGCAAAAUGUUUAUUUUCCCUUUCUUCUGUAAUUGAUGAGGAAAAAAAAUAGAAGAAAUAUGCUUAGUGAUAUUACUCUUUAUGUAACCCGUUUGCAUUUGAGCAACACAAGCAGCAUUAUCUUCGUAGAUAAUGAUUGGAGAUUUGAUAAGACCUUUGCCACAUGAUUUUUGUACGUGGUUUAUCAUUCUGCGAAGCCAUACACAUUCACGUGACGCUUCAUAUAAUGCGAUUAUUUCAGAAUGAUUGAUGGAUGUAGCCACUAGGGUCUGUUUAGAAGACUUUCAUGAGAUGGUUGUCCCACCAUGUAGGAACACAAAACCGGUUUGUGAUCUCGCAUUAUGGGGGUCUGAUAAGUAGCCAGCAUCGGUAUACCCAAUCAUCUCAAUGUCCAUAUUUUUCUGAAAUUGAAAGAAUAGGCCAAGAUCCUUUGUGCCUUGGAGAUAUCGAAAGAUAUUCUUAACUCCAGUCCAAUGACGUUUAGUGGGAGCUGCGCUAUGUCUAGCUAGUAAAUUCACUGCAAAUGCAAUGUUAGGCCUGGUGCAAUUUGCAAGAUACAUGAACGCUCCAACGGCACUAAGAUAUGGGACUUCAGGUCCUAAUAUUUUUUUCUCCAUCAUCCUUUGGUAUAAACUGAUCUUCCUCUACGUCUAGAGAUCGAACUACCAUAAGGGUUUUGGAUGGAUAUGAUUUGUCCAUAUUGAAUUUCUCCAAUAUUUUCUAGAUAUAGGCGGUUUGAUGAACCAAAAUACCUGAGGGGAGGUGCUCAAGUUGUAAUCCUAAGAAAAAUUUGGUUUUACCCAAAUCCUUCAUUUCAAAUUCCGUCUUUAAGUGAUUGUGUGCUUCAUCAAUAUCUUCGGUGGUUCCAAUGAUGUUAGGAUCAUCAACAUACACUGAAAUAAUGCAAAAUCCGGUUGCGGACUUUUUUAUGAAAACACAUGGGCGAUCAUCAUUAUUGGAGUAUCCUUUUUUCCAAAAAGAACUCACUAAGUUGGUUGUACCACAUGCGACCCGACUGUUUUAAGCCGUAUAAAGACUUGUUUAGUUUUACACAAUAUGCGUUGCGUUUUGCGUUUGGAUUCGGGAUUGGGACUCCAUCAGGAACCUUCAUGUAUAUGUCCGAAUCAAGUGAACCAUAAAGGUAGGCGGUCACUACGUCCAUCAACUGGAUAGAUAGACGAUUUUGUACUGCCAUAGAAAUAAGGUAUCGGAAAGUAAUACCACUCAUUACUGGAGAGUAUGUUUCAUUGAAAUCAAUGCCUGGUCUCUGCGUGAAACCUUGGGCUACUAGCCUUGCUUUAUAUCUCACCACCUCGUUGUUCUUAUUUCUUUUACGGACGAAAACCCAUUUGAAUCCCACAGGGAAAACUCUGGGAGGUGUAGGUAUUGCUUCAGUGUAUACCUUUCGUUUAUUG
rnacentral:lncRNA from 1 species